rnacentral:lncRNA from 1 species
UCCUUUUCUCUAAUAACUUCCAACUUUCUUCUGGACUUAGCAAUCGAAGGUUAAGAGGAUCACUAUUGCCCCUUCCAUGAAAAGCCACUUCCUUUUGUCGAGUCGUCAAAAUAAUUCUACUUCCUUUCUCAACUUCAGGGAAAGGUCUUGUUAAAUCAUCCCAUGUAGUAGUAUCCUAUACAUCAUCUAACACAAUUAGGUACCUCUUUCCAUACAAUUGUUUCCGCAGCUUAUCGACAACAUCAAUUUCUUCGCUGAACUUCAAAUCCAAGCCAGUAACUUGAUUAAAAAGUUCCACUAGCAACUUCCUCUUGUCAUAAUCUUGGUCGACUGUGCACCAUGCACGAAGGUCGAAAUGACUACAAACUGAUUCAUCAUUGUAUACUUUGUACGCCAAGGUAGUUUUACCUGAACCGGGCAUACCAGUGAUUGAAAUGACAUCUAGACUUGCUGGUCCACUGGUGAGCUUCCUAAUUAACCAGUUUGUCUCCUCCUUAAAUCCUACAAUUAUUUUACCACCCAUCAAUGACUUGCUUUCAACUGGCUUCUUGGGAGAGUUUACAACAUUGAGUCUUUUGUUCUUGGGAAUCUUCUCGGAUAUAUUGGAGACAUCUUCUUUGAUAAGCUUGACCUUUUUUAUGGUAAGGGGAAGUGAGAAAAAAAAUGUAUGAGACCAUUAUCUCGAACAAUAAUCGAAUCAAUGACAUCUUUUGCCUCAUAUGCCACAUCUAAAAUACGUGCCCAAAGAUAUUUAUAAAAUUCUUGAUCAAUGUUUGUGAAAAAAGAUUUUAUGAAUUCUACGUCUUGUUUCACCAGCCCAAUUUCUUCCUUUAUCAAUGCAAUUGAAUAAGCAUUGGAAUCUAGCAGAUCAUUCAAGUGUAUUUGUAGCAGAUGCAUGAAGAGCGGUCCAUCAUUCAUGGGGAAGCAACAUUGAGAUGGGUCUGGGGCUUUCAGAUAAUCAUUUUUGAGAUCUUCCUUGAAGAGUUCAAUAUUUUCCAGCAAGUCUCGAGUCGCACAACUUGUUUCAUCGGUACUCUCUUCAUUCCUUGAUUUUUCUUCUAAGUCACGAACAAGAGUUGAUACCUUUGUGGUAUGUGCUCCAACACGUGCCAAAAGAUCAAAUAAUUUGUCAUGAUGAAUAAUGUCCUUGGGCAUAUCCGUAAGAAUAAUUAAAAGGAACUCUAUAUUGACAUGAAUGUUUCGAGCCCCUGGAGUUGUAGCGAUAAUGACAUUUACCAUGUGCCUUGUAGAUGAAUCAGAUACUCUCUAAGAAUGCCCAGAGAGAUUUCCAGGAGAUUCUUAAUGAAGCAUCCAACUUCUGCUGAAGUUGAAGUUUUCAAAUUUGUAUAACAUAUUUGCAUCACCUCCACCUCAAUUGGAAUAAUCUUCAUGAGUAGAUGAGGUAGCUUGAAGACCUUAGAGUCUUCACUAGUUAGAUCAUCCCAAAGGAAGAGUCCAACUCUCUCAGCCAUGAGUUGAAACUGAGGUAAGACAUAUUCGACAAUCUCGCGCUCAACGUAACCAUUCACUAUCAACCCAUGAAAAUCCUUCAUGUUGCCACACACUUUAUGAAGAAUCUCAUACUGAGUCUCUAAUGAAAAUAUCUGUUCAGCAAGGUACUUGGAUAGAUAAUGGAGAUUCAAGAGGAGGAAGUCCAACUGCUCGUCAGUCAUGGUGGCACUUGAUGUAGAAUGAUAACACGAGCUGAUACAAUCAUCGAUAUUAUCCAUGAGGCUAGGAAGGACAUGAUCCAUGUUGUAUUUACAACUGACAUUGUUGUCAACAACAUCCAAAAUUUGUUGAAGCAGAUUCUCAACCUCUUGUCUUGAAGCAUCACUAAUUUCAUCGGCAAACUCUUCCGAAUCACAAUGAGAAAGCUGGACAUAUGUACAAAUAAAUUCCAGAUGAAAUUUCAGCUUUUCAAUUUGAUCGGCUUUGUCAGUAGCAUUUUGACCGUCUUCAUUCUUUAACCCGUCCAAGAAAUUCAGAACGUUGACAACGGCCUUGCGAAGAGCAGAAAAUGACACCUGCCAAACGACCAAAUAUUAAAUCAAAAUUUUCAUAGCGAACAUAUAUACCAUGCAAUGUUUACUCUAUACAGGCAACCAUCACGUACACAUGUAUUUUGUAUGAAUUUGAUGUUAUCUAUCCGACCUAAUACUUCAUCCAAAAUUAUCAGAUACUUGUUAUAUGCUUUAUCUUCUAAGAAAAAAAAUCAAAAUAAUGGAAAAAGGUCAAAAUAUACUACAAAACUUACACCAAAUAUGCCCUUCCCUAAAAAAAAUGGAGUAUUUAUACUCGUGGCAUAACACCAAUGACUCCCGUAUGCCCUUUUUGACUAAUGAAAGUGAAAUAGUCGAUGUUAAAAUUAUUUUUCUAUUUUUGUUGUUAAAACAAAAGCCACAUGGAUUUGAUUAAAGAACUGGCUAGAAUUUCCCACUCUACUUUCAAAACUUGUAGACAUUUAAUUUCCGUUUUACAAUCUGAACAUAAAUUUGACCUUCUAGUGAAUUGUAUUUUCAGGAUAAUUAACACAUAGUUCAACGACUUAAAUGUGAUAAAGUAAAGUUCAGUGAUUUUAGUGAGUCAAAAUUAGCUUAUAUAAGUAACUAAUUAACUGAUACAUACAUAAGUAAAGUUCAGUCAUCAUGACAUACCUCAAAAUUGUUUGCUUUCCUUUUCUCUAUUUCUCCUUGUUUUUCCAUGACUGUAAGUUUCUUUCAAAUUUCAGUAGCCAAAUUUUCUGAAUCUGAUGUAUAAAAAAUAGACAAAAACUUCAUCAGGUGAAAAUUGAAAGAAGCAAAAAAUUAAUUUCAUAGUAGAUAAAAGUGUCUUUCAAGUUCCUUUCCUUUCAAAUUCUCAGGAUCUGAUGGAUAAAAUGUAGUUAAAAAGUUUAUUAGGAGAAUAAAGCAGCAAAAAAUGUACAGAUAUAAAUAAGUAAAUAGUAUUCUGUGUUUACUUUCUCAAUUUUUUCAACAGAUCUUAAUACCAAAACUAAACAAACUGAGUUUAUCUGAGACUAACCUUAUCACUUGAUGAAAAUUCUGAUAUAGUUGCUUUGUUCCUCUAUGUUUUUGUGUGCUCUCCAAAAAGCAAUUAGCUUGAAUAAUGAAAAACAGAAAAUUAGAAGAUCGAGAGAGAACAAAUGAUUGAUGUUAGGUAGAAAAUGAUGCAUAGUAUUUCCAAUAAUGUUUAUAAAGCAAAAGCAAAUGGGACCUCCAACUUAAUCAUACUCUCAAGUGGGAACAAUAAUCUGUAAUAGGGAGUAUUGGCCACGAAAUAUAUAUAUAUAUAUUUUUUUGAGAUAAGCAUCCUGAACUAUGAUCAAAGUUGCUCCGAUAUACUCCUUCACAGGGUCCAAUUACCCCUGAACUCAAUUUUAAUGUAUUUUUGUCACCUUUUUGAGCUGGCGUGGAACCUUUAUUACAUAAAAUGAAGCCCACGUCAAAGAUAUCACGUCAUCUAAAAAUGAUGACAAAAUACGCUUAAAUUUAUUUCGGGGUUAUAGGACUCAAGUGAAGUUGGAGUGUAUCGCAGCAAAUUUGGUCAUAGUUCAGGGAUAUUAGAUGCUUUGCUCUAUUUUUUUGGUGUUGUGUUUGGCCAUAAAAUUCAGGAAUUUUUAGUAAUUUGAAAAAUAUCAAAAUACUAUUUUCACUCCAAAUUACUCACAAAAAUUCAAAAACAACUCCAAUUUAUAUUCGUUUUCUCCUUGUGACCUUUUAUUGUUACUUAUCGUCUCCUUCCACAGGUCCUUUUAUUAUCCAUAGAGUAGUAUGUUUUUGUAUUGUUACUCUAUGUACAAGGAUAAUAUUUUGAAAGUAAUCUAUCUGUGGGAUCAAAAAGAUUUUAUCAGAUUUUUAGUGUCCUUUUAUUUAACUUUUACAAUUUGAUUUCAGAAGAUAUCAGUGUAUCAAUUUAUUUAUUUUUUUUUUAAAAAAAACACUAUUAGAGACUAACCUUUUAACAUGAUGAAAAUAUCUUCUUCUUGCUUUAUAAUUCAUCCAACUACUUCAAAUUGUUGGGAGAUGUUUGGUUUGGGGGUAGUGAAGAAAAUAAUUUUAGUAUUGAAAAAUAUUGUAGAAAAAACUAUGCAUAGUGUUUUCAAAAAGUCUAGAAAGUAAAAGGAUGAAGCAAUGGGUCCUCACAGCUUGUCUACCAUAAGUCUAAAAGGAAAAAGAAAAGUAAGUUAAUCAAAGAGAUAAACAUCCAGUACCCCUUCGAACUUUGAUCAAAGUUGCUGCGACACACUUUAACUUCACAGGGUUCUAUUAAUAAAGGAUAAAAUCAACUCCUGUUUUUGAAAUUUCAAAUUUAGUUGUCCUUCUCUUUAAGACUCUUGUAUAUAGAUAAGUAUUAUCCUUUUCUUAGUUUAUCUCUUUGUUGUAUUGUAUUUAUAUAUACUCAGUCUACAAUCAAUGACAAGUAUCGUUCCUUUCAUUCCAUUAACAGUCUUAUACUUCAUAUGGUAUCCAGAGCCAAUUAACUCUCACAAGUAUAAUUCUUUUGAUCCCUCCCACUCUUCCCAUCAAAAUGGCCACAAACAUAACUGUAACAAAUUCAGAUGCCAACACCACAAUUGUCCAGUUCAAUUCUGUCACCCAGUUACCAAUCAAACUAACUGGCAGUCACAGUUUUUCCCUCUAGAAAGCACAAGUGUCCAUGCUUAUGCGUGGUCACAACAUUUAUGUCCAUCUCGACGGUUCUUGCCCUGCCCCUACUCGUACAGUCGCUCAAAAUAAUCAGGAAGUCGAAAAUCCUGAAUUUGUUUCAUGGUAUCGCCAAGAUCAGCUUAUUCAAAACGCCUACACUUGCUGCUACAGUUGCCGCUGCAUCCACCACCAAGGCUGCUUGGGAUGUUUUGCACACUGCCUAUGCCAAUAAAUCACAAACAAGAAUCUUUAGUUUGCGUGAUCGUCUUUCUCGUCUCUCGAAAGAAUCCCUUCCCGUCGCUGAUUAUCUACACCAAGUUCGAUCUCUCUGUGAUGAACUUGCCACUGCUGGAGCUCCUGUGUUUGAUGAGGAAUUGAUUGUCAAAAUCCUCACUGAACUUGGCCCAGAAUUUCAUGAAAUAUAUGCAGCGAUCCGUGUAAGAGACUCUACUAUCUCUUAUCCAGAACUUUAUGAAAAGUUGCUUGAUCAUGAACUUUUUAUAAAACAUAAAGAAGCAAAGAAGCCAUUAUCAUCACCAAUUACUGCUGCUAUUGUACAGAAAACAAACACGCAUCCUCUCCAAGGAAACAACUCAAACACACAUCCUCGCCAAGGAAACAACAACUCCAACAGGCGUCCCAGUGCAAAUUUCCCCAACACCAACCAGCCAUGGCAUAGUGGAAAAAAUAACCAACAACAAUGAUAUGAAAACACUCUGAAGUGCCAGUUGUCUGAUCUUCCUGGUCAUUCUGCCAAAGUGUAACACCCCGCAUUUUGGGCUAGAAUAAAAACCAUGACUCUGAUACAUUGAUAAUCCCAGAGCCUUAAAUCCUAUGACAAUUUGGAAUGUUUAUGUAGUAUGUGAAUCCAUUUGAGCAUGAAUUUAGGCCAUAGAGGUCCUUCAACUUAAGGAUGAGUUGAAACUAUUUCGAUCGAUUAAGUUUUAGUGGACGUUGUAAUUAGUGUCAGCUUCCAUCGACCAUAAAUCUCUAUAUAUGUUGAAUUAGAGAGCCUAAUAUGUUUCAAAUGAUAGGUCUUUGAGUUAAAUUUCCAACGAUACCAAUUUUGCUAAAAUUCGAUACCCGAGCAAGAAGUUAUGGCCUUUCAAAGUAGUAUGCGUCGCCUAACCAAUCGCAUAUGGCAACUGGAAAGCAUAUGCGACACCUAUGUAAAUAUAGGCUAUAUCACAUGCGGCGCCUAUGUAAAUAUAGGCGAUAUCAUAUGCGGUGCCUAUGUAAAUAUAUGCGAUAUCAUAUGCGGCGCAUAUCUUAUGGUUUCAAGUGACUUAAACACUCCAUAUUUGGGGCAAAAUGGUCUUUUUCCCACCCUUAUUCAGCCAUAAAUAUGAAAUUCAGUCCCCAAUUCUCCAAAAUACAUCCACAUUCAUCUAAAAAUUCUCAAGAACACUCCCAAGGGUUUCAAACUAAAAACCAAAUAAAUUAAGAUUUAACUGUGGGUUUUCAAAAUUGAUUAGAGAUUCAGAAUCCCCAAUCCACAGGCUUCAAGAAGCACCCAUUAUUUUCUGAAAUAGAGGUAUGCAACCUAAAUUCUCAUGGGCAUAGAAAAAUCAUGUUUUAGAAUGGGGUUUUGAAUAUAUGUAUAUAUUCAUGUAUUAAAUGUUUUAACAUCAUUUUUUUAGUCUUUUGACCUUUCCCAAAGUGAAUUGAGAAUAUGAAUGUAUGAAACUAUGUAUUUAAGAAUGAAUUCUUGUUGAGAGCAUGUUUUUCGGUGAAUUCCCUCUUAUUAUGAAUUUUUCAGAUUUCUCAUAGCAUAUGAAUUAUUUUGCAAUGCAUCCUUGAAAAGCACUAUAUGAAAUGAUUGAACUCUUGUUAUGAUUUAAAGGUGAUUUUAAAUCACUAAAGAGGGAAUCUAGCAUGAAUCUUUAAUGUUCAUAAUGCAUGUAAUGAAAGCGUGCAUGGAUUUGCUAAAGGCACUAAACCAACAUAUGUUGAUGAAGUUUUUGCAUGAUUUUGACUUAAGUUUCGAAACACGAAAUCUUCUAUAUCAGUUGCAUAUUUUUGGUGGUCUAAAUUAUGCUUUAAAUGAAAGAUUUAGCUUAAUGUAUUAUGACUAAGAAAUCAUAACUUGCAAGUCUUGGUAUGACGAUGCCAAUUCAGACCAAUGCCAUAUCAGACUUAGACUAAUAGACAUUUCAGACUAUCAUGAUUUUAGACAUUCAGAAUGUUGUGUGUACAGAAAAGGUUAAAAAUGGGCAUACAGAUAUGUUAGGUGGUUCCCUAAAGAGGGCUUGAGUUCAAGCAACUCAUUGCCUAAAAUCGUGGUUUGCCGACUCGAGUAUAUUAUUAUACGCUGACUUAAGUGUCGUGUGGCAUAUCAGAUUCAGGAACUCCAACCCUUGCGGCAUACUUGGGUUGGACGCUUCCCUGCCGAGUCAAUGGUGGAUUCCAUAUCGCCCGUGGAAUAUCAUACUUGCAGGGGAUACCACCUAACUCAGAAGUAAUACAUAGAUCAGAGUUUGAGAUUUACAGACAGGUUACACGUUUUCAAAAGGUGCCCAUGCGUUUUUCAGAAACUAUUUUAUGCAUAAUAUUUGAUGAACAUUUGCUCUGACGUAUGAUAUAUAUAUAUAUAUAUAUGUUUAAUUACUCUAUUUUGGAUUGCUUCGCAUACCAGUACUUUUGUGUUGACCCCCCUCCCCCCUCCAAUCUCUCAGGUUCUAAGGCUCAAUCUGGGGGUCAGAUAAGCAGUAGAUAGUCAGACUUGCAGAUCAGACUGUGUAGUGGUGAGCCUUCUUUACUCCAAAAGGCAUGCAGAUUGUUCAGAGUAUUAUUAGUAGUUAUAUUUUGGUCUACUGGGGGCCUUAUCCCAGUUUAUUUUCAAACAACUGCUUAUGUUCUUAGUAGAGAUUUCGCAGACUGAUGUCAGAUAUUACUAUUUUAGAUUUGACCAUGUUUUCGUAAUAUUAUUUAUCUUUCGUAUUUAUUUAUCAUAUGAAUUAUGUGCAUGAUUACCAGAUAGACAGAGGGCGUUCUGGGACUUUGGGUUCUGAAAUGCUCAUCACGGCCAGAGCCCUGGUUUGGGUCGUGACAAACUUGGUAUCAAAGCAUGGUUCAUGGUCCCAGGGUAUCUACGAAAUCGCAUCGGGUAGAGUCUUGUUUAUGCGUAUGUGGCGCGCCACACUUAUAAGCGGGAGGCUACUAGGCAUUUAGGAAUGUCUCUCUUUCUUUAUGUUCUAGUUCGUGCUAUAAAGUCAGAAUGUUCCUCCUUCAUACUCUGAUUCAUGCUAUGGUGUCACCCAUACGAAAAGAAAAGUUAUCCUAAUUUCUUCCUCACUCUGGUGUUCCAGAUAUUCUCCGAUUAUCUAGCAUAAACUUUAGAAGUCCCACAAAGGACGAGAGAGAAGUUCCCUAGUGUAAAAUUAUGUCAUCGUUCUUAUGAGGCGUUCAGUUAAGACAAGAGUAAGAUGUGUAUUCUUGAGUCAUUGAAUAUUGUGUAUCAAGCUUCUAUCUCUUGCAAUCUUGAUAUCAUUGUGUUGUUGAAAACAAAAGUCAAGUGAAGCCGUGUGAGGCCUAUUUUGAUUCACUAGCANNNNNNNNNNNNNNNNNNNNNNNNNNNNNNNNNNNNNNNNNNNNNNNNNNNNNNNNNNNNNNNNNNNNNNNNNNNNNNNNNNNNNNNNNNNNNNNNNNNNNNNNNNNNNNNNNNNNNNNNNNNNNNNNNNNNNNNNNNNNNNNNNNNNNNNNNNNNNNNNNNNNNNNNNNNNNNNNNNNNNNNNNNNNNNNNNNNNNNNNNNNNNNNNNNNNNNNNNNNNNNNNNNNNNNNNNNNNNNNNNNNNNNNNNNNNNNNNNNNNNNNNNNNNNNNNNNNNNNNNNNNNNNNNNNNNNNNNNNNNNNNNNNNNNNNNNNNNNNNNNNNNNNNNNNNNNNNNNNNNNNNNNNNNNNNNNNNNNNNNNNNNNNNNNNNNNNNNNNNNNNNNNNNNNNNNNNNNNNNNNNNNNNNNNNNNNNNNNNNNNNNNNNNNNNNNNNNNNNNNNNNNNNNNNNNNNNNNNNNNNNNNNNNNNNNNNNNNNNNNNNNNNNNNNNNNNNNNNNNNNNNNNNNNNNNNNNNNNNNNNNNNNNNNNNNNNNNNNNNNNNNNNNNNNNNNNNNNNNNNNNUUAAGGUGGUUAUAGAAACCCCUUAUAGGCUAUGAAUGAAAAUGGCUAGAUUAGCCAGUAGGGUGUAAGUAUAGACUCAUUGUCAUAUGGGGUAUUUGAAGGUAGUCUAAAUGCCCAUUGGGGUAAGUAAGUGUGAUGUGAGAAAACCGUAUAAGUAGAUAAUAUUGUAUGGUUAUACUAUAAGCUUAAGGUUGAUCAUGUCUAUUAUGUGACCUUACCCCUUGACCUUUUUCUCAUUGGUAGUGUAAACUAAUACUGCUUGUGAGAAAGUAUGUAGUAGAUUUUUGAAGUAUUUGGGUAGAAUAUCCCAAUUUGAAGGAUUAUUAUAUUUAUAUUAUGUUGCACUCUUCAUUGGUGGUAAAUGAUUGAUGCUAGACUAUAGGCUUGAAUUUAAAUGGUGUNNNNNNNNNNNNNNNNNNNNNNNNNNNNNNNNNNNNNNNNNNNNNNNNNNNNNNNNNNNNNNNNNNNNNNNNNNNNNNNNNNNNNNNNNNNNNNNNNNNNNNNNNNNNNNNNNNNNNNNNNNNNNNNNNNNNNNNNNNNNNNNNNNNNNNNNNNNNNNNNNNNNNNNNNNNNNNNNNNNNNNNNNNNNNNNNNNNNNNNNNNNNNNNNNNNNNNNNNNNNNNNNNNNNNNNNNNNNNNNNNNNNNNNNNNNNNNNNNNNNNNNNNNNNNNNNNNNNNNNNNNNNNNNNNNNNNNNNNNNNNNNNNNNNNNNNNNNNNNNNNNNNNNNNNNNNNNNNNNNNNNNNNNNNNNNNNNNNNNNNNNNNNNNNNNNNNNNNNNNNNNNNNUGUAGUAUUUUUCUAAGGCUAUUACAUGUUGUGUGUGGCUACUGGUCCCGUUGAGUUGCUAGGUGGAAAAAGACUAGAUAGAUGGUAUAUGGUGUUCUAAAUAGCCAAGUUAAGGACCUUUGAUUGAUAGCGUUGAGCCUUUUGAUAUGAACUUGACUCUCAUGGUAGAGAAAAAUAAGUUUGAAGUUGCUAUAUUGGUAGACUACGAUAGAAAUAAAGUGGCUCAUUGAAGACUUGGUGAUACCCAUGUUAGGUGUUAUAAUCUAAGUUCGAGUCCUUGAAAGUCAUGCUAAUAGAAAUAAGAGUAGAGACACUAGAGGGUGUGCACUUCAACUUUGGGGAUACUCAUGAAGAUUCGAAGUUAGUAAGUGUUCGAGUAAUGGAUGAUGACUAUUGGGGUUACAGAAUGAUAGAGUGUGCCUCAGGAGGUAGUAUUAGCAGUGGGCGUUCCACUCCCAUAUGUGGUCUUUCGGGUUAAGUUUUAUUAAUUUUGUGUAUUGUCAUAUUUUAGAACCCAGAGUGCAGUGAGUACAGUUAUGUUUAAAGUCUAGUAAGGUAUCUCCUAAAAACUUAAGAUGAUGGCUUGAAACUAAGUGGGAGAUGACUAAACGAAUAACAAGUAAGACUCUCAGAUUCUUGUAGUGAUGUCAUGAUGAUAUAGAACAUCAAAAAGUAAGGGUGAAUCUCAACCCAUUCCUAUAUCAGUAUUUCUCAGUGAUCCUAAUACCUACUCAUGCUUUACGAUUUAGUUCCAUGAUUAGUUCACGUUCAUACAUAUGAUAGAGAGUCAUGUACUCACGCUUUAUAAUGUGCUCCAUUUCCAUAACUCAUGUUUUACGCCAAAUGAUUUGCGAGAUUCAGCUUAUAGCUAUGAAUACCCUCAAUUCAGAGCGCUUUGGUGAGUCCCUGUUGUUGUUUUGCUAUUCCUCAGGCCUCAGAUGAGUGUCAAGCUUCAUAUAGCAUCAUUCCAUGCCUCCAGAUCUUAUGUUUUAACCUUUUUGUGACUCCUCCUUAUGCGAUGAUAGUGGUGGUGAGUAAUUAUUCCUUGUUGAUGGAAGAUGAUAGUACGCUUGUUUAUAUAAGGCCAUAAGUAUGAAGUAAGAUUUGGGGCCAAGUUUUUACUUAUAUAAUUGUUAGUGGAAUUUUGUAUGUGUAUGUUCUUGGGGUAGCUCGUGGGAGUGAUAUUGAUAGUGGUUUAGAGAAUAUGUGAAGUAUGCCUUUGUGAGUGUUUUCUUUGAAGUUCAUUUGUGGUUAUAAAGAUAGGCUUGAAUGACAUGUUGAGGUUGUUGUAAAGGAAUGCUAUAUGCGCUAGCGACUUCCUAGUAAAAGUUCAGAGUAGUCAUUAAAGUGGUAAGGCAUGUUAUACUUACGAUGUGAUCUUUAAAGGAGAUAUAGAAGAUUGCAUCAUAUGGUUUAGAAUAAUAGCGUGGUCUGGCAUGUUGUAUUUUUGUAACUUAGAGUUAGGUUUGAUCAUGGCGAAGGGAUUAAGUUAUUUUCGACAUUAGUAAAGAGAUUUGUAAAUGCUCAUAUGAGAAUUUUAAGCUGAGUUGAAUGAAUAUGAUAUUUAAGGAGAAUAGUAUAGUUAAGUGAUAUUCGAGAAGUGUGCUAAGCUUGAAAGUAAGAAGUUGUAAUGCCAAAGGCCUGGUAAUUCUAUCCUAAUUCAGGAGUUAUAUGCCUAUGUUCUAGACUGCAGAGUAGUGUCAAUGUGGUGAUUCCUCAGUUGGAUGUCUUGUGUAAUCCAUACCCAAGAUUCAUGGCUCCCUAUUACUGCUAGAAUUUCUUUAGAGAAUUGUGCUGAAGAGAUACUCCAGUUAAGUAUGAGGGUGUAGUAUAAUUUAGUCUCUAUGGCCAAUAAGUCAGUUUAGCAGUCAGAUUUGCAUGACUUGUUUUCUCGUCUUUGCACUUAUUCAUGCUACUCGAAAUCUCAGAUAUGCUACUAUUUCAAGAUAGAGUAUAUUAGUAGUUACGAGUAUAGCCCAUUUCAUGCAUCAUGCAUUAAAUUCAGAUUUCAGAGGUUCAGUUAUGAUUCAUUUCGUAGGUGCCCUGUGCAUCGCCUCAGUUUUCUGAGUACCUUAGUGGAUUGAGCAUUCAUAGAGGGACAUAGGGUACUAAAGGGAAGAUACCCCAUUCAGUUGCACGCAUAGAUUCUUAUUACGAGCUUCACAUCAGUUAUUAUUGCGUAUUUAGCCAUACGUUCGUACAUCAGUUCAGCCAGAUAUGCAUGUAUUAGAAAUGCAUGUUCAAUAGAAAAGUUCAGGUUAUCAGUGUAUUCAGUCCUGCAUUCAUGAGAACAACUCGGUCACAGAUCCAUGCAUCAGAUAUGCAUGAUUCAUUCUGAGAAUUCAACCUAUGAGUAGCUUCAGUCGUGUAUUCCAUGCCUCGGAUAUGCAUGUCCGACAUAAGCAUUUAAAACAUCAGUAGUUCCAAUCUUAUAGUCAUGUUUUCGAUCAGUGUAUUCUUUGUUAGGGAAUAUAUCAUGUCCGCGUUAUACCAUACCCUUAAGACUUUGACAUUCUAUCCAUCAUUCGGGGUAGAAAGAUCCCAAGGGGGAGAUAAUGUAACACUCCGCAUUUCGGGAUAGAAUAAAAACCAUGACUCUGAUGCGUUGAUAAUCCCAGAGCCUUAAAUACUAUGUCAAUUUGGCAUGUUUAUGUAGUAUGUGAAUCCAUUUGAGCAUGAAUUUAGACCGUAGAGGUCCUUCAACUCAAGGAUGAGUUGAAACUAUUUCGAUCGAUUAAGUUUUAGUGGAUGUUGUAAUUAGUGUCAGCUUCCAUCAACCAUAACUCUUUUUAUAUGUUGAAUUAGAGAGCCUACUAUGUGUCAAAUGAUAGGUCUUCGAGUUAACUUUCCAACGAUACCAAUUUUGCUAAAAUCUAACACCUGAGCAAGAAGUUAUGGCCUUUUAAAGUAGUAUGCGUCACCUAACCAAUUGCACAUGGCCACUGGAAAGCAUAUGCGAUAGCAUAUGCAGCGCCUAUGUAAAUAUAGGUGAUAUCAUAUGCGGCNNNNNNNNNNNNNNNNNNNNNNNNNNNNNNNNNNNNNNNNNNNNNNNNNNNNNNNNNNNNNNNNNNNNNNNNNNNNNNNNNNNNNNNNNNNNNNNNNNNNNNNNNNNNNNNNNNNNNNNNNNNNNNNNNNNNNNNNNNNNNNNNNNNNNNNNNNNNNNNNNNNNNNNNNNNNNNNNNNNNNNNNNNNNNNNNNNNNNNNNNNNNNNNNNNNNNNNNNNNNNNNNNNNNNNNNNNNNNNNNNNNNNNNNNNNNNNNNNNNNNNNNNNNNNNNNNNNNNNNNNNNNNNNNNCCAAUCCACAGGCUUCAAGAAGCACCCAUUAUUUUUCAAAAUAAAAGUACGCGGGAUUUUUCUAAAUUCUCAUGGGCAUAGAAAAAUCAUGUUUUAGAAUGGGGUUUUUGAAUCUAUGUAUAUAUUCAUGUAUUAAAUGUUUUAACAUCAUAGUUUUGGUCUUUUGACCUUUCCCAAAGUGAUUUGAGAAUAUGAAUGUAUGAAACCAAGUAUUUAAGAAUGAAUUCUUGUUGAGAGCAUGAUAUUUGGUGAAUUCCCUCUUAUUAUGAAUUUUUCAGAUUCUCAUAGCAUAUGAAUUGUUUUGCAAUGCAUCCUUGAAAAGCACUAUAUGAAAUGAUUGAACUCUUGUUAUGAUUUAAAGGUGGUUUUAAAUCACUAAAGAGGGAACCUAGCAUGAAUGUUUAAUGAUCAUAAUGCAUGUAAUGAAAGAGUUCAUAGAUUUGCUAAAGGCACUAGACCACCAUAUGUUGAUGAAGUUUUUCCAUGAUGUUGACUUGGGUUUCGAAACACGAAAUAUUCUAUAUCAGUUGCAUGUUUUUGGUGGUCUAAAUUAUGCUUUAAAUGAAAGAUUUAGCUUAAUGUAUUAUUUUUCAGAAAUCAUGACUUACAAGUCCUGGUAUGACGAUACCAAUUCAGACCAAUGCCAUAUCAGACUCAGAAUAAUAGACAUUUCAGACUAUCAUGCUUUUAGACAUUCAGAAUAUUGUAUGUACAGAAAAGGUUAAAAAUGGGCAUACAAAGAUGUUAGGUGGUUCCCUGAAGAGGGCUUGAGUUCAAGCAACUCAUUUCCUAAAACCUUGGUUUGCCGACCCGAGUAUAUUAUUAAACGCUGACUUAAGUGUCGUGUGGCAUAUCAGAUUCAGGAACUCCAACUCUUUCGGCAUACUCGGGUUGGAGGCUUCCCCACCGAGUCAAUGGAGGAUUCCAUAUCGCCCGUGGAAUAUCAUACUUGUAGGGGAUACCACCUAACUCAGAAGUAAUACACAGAUAAGAGUUUGAGAUUUACAGACAGGUUGCAUGUUUUCAGAAGGUACCCAUAUGUUUUUCAUAAACUGUUUUAUGCAUAAUGUUUGGUGAACAUUUGCUCUCACGUAUUAUAUAAAUAUAUAUAUAUGUUCAAUUACUCUAUUUUGGAUUGCUUUGCAUACCAGUACUUUUGUGCUGACCCCAUCCCCCCUCCAAGCUCUCAGGUUCUGAGGCUCUGUAUAGGGGUCCAGAUAAGCAGUAGAUAGUCAGACUUGUUGAUCAGACUGUGCAGUGGUGAGCCUUCUUUACUCCAGAAGGCCUGCAGAUUGUUCAGAGUAUUAUUAGUAGUUAUAUUUUGGUCUACUGGGGGUCUUGUCCCAUUUUUUUUCAGACAGCUGCUUAUGUUCUUAGUAGAGAUUUCGCAGACUGAUGUUAGAUAUUACUAUUUCAGAUUUGACCAUGUUUCCAUAACAUUAUUUAUCUUCCGUAUUUCUUUAUCAUAUGAAUUAUGUGCAUGAUUACCAGAUAGACAGAGGGCGUUUCGGGCCUUUGGGUUUAGGAAUGCUCGUCACGGCCAAGGCCCCGGUUCAGGUCGUGACACAAAGUCUGCAGAUCCCGAUCACACAAUCACCUAUAAUACCGAGCAAACUAUGCUACUCGGCUUUCAACUCAAGAGGCUCCUUGGAUUUUUGAUACUGGCGCCACUCAUCAUAUGGCCGCAGAUGUUCAAAACUUCACUGAUGAGCAAAACUACCACAGUCCAGAGGAGAUAGAAAUGGGAGAUGGUAGCAGCAUUCCAAUAUCUCAUAUCGGUAACACCAACAUAAGUGCAUUAAUUAUCAAUUUAAUCUUCUCAAUACCUUAUGCUCUCAUGAUAUAAAAAAUAACCUUAUUUCUAUUUCUAAAUUUUGUUGUGAUAACCACACCUCCAUUGAAUUUUUUCCUUUUUCUUAUCUUGUGAAGGAUCUGAGUACGGGGACGCCUCUAUUUUGCUGGUAGAAUAGAGAUGGGUUGUAUGAGUGGCGGUCGGGUAGUGAGCACCAUUCACUACAAUGCAAUGUUGUCAUUCCUUUACACCUAUGGCAUCGGUGUUUAGGUCAUCCUAGUAUCGUAUUUUAAAUAGGAUUUUGCAUCAGUUCUCUCUUCCAGUUUCACAUUCUAGAACCAAUUCAGUUUGUAAUUCGUGUUAUUCUAAUAAAAUGCACAGGUUACCUUUUCUGAAAAUUCAUUGCAAAGUAAACGACCAUUGCAAAUUAUUUAUAGAGAUUUAUGGGGGCCCUCUCCUAUUUUGUCAAUCGAUAACAAGCGAUAUUAUGUCUUAUUUGUUGACCAUUACUCGAAAUACAUGUGGUUGUUCACUAUAAAAUCAAAAAAGGAAGUUCUUGAUGUCUUUCAAGCUUUACAUCCCUUGAGCGACGGUUUCAAAACAAAAUUUUGUCUUUCUAUACAGACAGUGGUGGUGAAUUUCAAGGUUUAUCAUCAUACCUCAAAAGUCAUUGUAUUGAACACUUAGUGACCCCUCCUUACACACCCCAAAGAGUCGCACUAGUUAAAUGCCAUCACAGGCACGUUAUUGAGACAGCCAAAACCUUGCUGCACCAAGCCUCAUUGCCCCCGAUUUUUUGGAUUUUUGCCUGUCACCAAGCAGUUUACCUUAUAAAUAGUCUAACAACUCCAAAUUUACAAAAUAAAUGUCCCUAUGAAAUUCUAUUUCAAGAGUCUCCAAAGUAUGAAUCCCUUAGAGUUUUUGGUUGUUUAUGCUACCCAUGGCUCAAACCAUAUGGAAAAAUAAAUUAGAACCAAGAUAUAAUCCCUAUGUGUAUUUAGGAUUUUCUAAUAAACAUUAUUGCCACCGAUGUUUUGAUCCCGUCAGGAAUAAAUUAUACUUAUCAAGGGGUGUUCUGUUUUUGGAAGAUACCUAUCCUUUUCAGAAUAUGUUUUCCAAUUUAAAACUUAAACAGAGCGAUAAUAUUUCCUGGGAAAUUUGUUCUGAUGUUCAACCUUUGAAUCAUGAACCGUCAAGUUCAGACUCUUGUCAUCCACUCCCAGAUGCUCUGCCCGUGCAGUCUCCACUAUCCAGCUCAACGUCUGCCACACCAGAAGGUGUCUCCGCUACAUCAGGUAAUUCUCAAAAUUUAUAUUCUCCUUUGUUGCCACCUGUAAUUCCACCCCCCCAUGAUAAUACUCAACCACUACCAUCAUCCAAACCAUUAAUCACCUAUCAACGCAAAAAUUGUCCACAACCAAACACCUCAUUGAUGCCACUUCCUUCCAUUGUCCAGUUCCCCAGCCCGCCUUCUCAAUCACCCAAUGACAACCCUUCCCAGAGCACACUUGCUUUGAUUCCGUCCACUCCUUCACCUGUGGUGACCACUUCAACUUAUCCCAUGGUCACACGCUCUAAAACAAAUAACCUCAAACCCAAGCAGUUUAGUGUUAGCGUCCAACUUUCCUUGCCAUUUUUUCCUCAUACAUAUAAACAAGCAUGUCCUCACCCUCACUGGAGAGAAGCCAUGAAAGCUGAAUUUGAUGCCCUUGUUAGGAAUCAUACAUGGGAUUUGGUUCCAGCUGCUCCUUCGAUGAAUGUGGUUGACUGAAAGUGGUUGUUUCAUAUAAAACAUAAAUCUUAUGGUUCCAUUGACAGGUACAAAGCUCGGCUUGUUGUAAAGGGAUUUACCCAGCAUCCGGGAUUAGACUGUGAUUCAAAUUUUAGCCCGGUAGUCAAACCAGUAACUGUUCUGUUGGUGCUUACUAUUGUGACACAGUACAACUGGCCUAUCCAUUAGAUUGAUGUAAAUAAUGCCUUCCUACAAAGAUGUAUUGAGGAAGAAGUGUAUAUGAGGCAGCCACCGGGCUUUGAAGAUCGAAGCCUCUCCAUCCAUGUCCGUAAGCUGAACAAAGCAAUCUAUGGAUUGAAACAAGCUCCCUGAGCAUAGUACACCGAGUUCAAAAAUUAUUUUUUAACUGUUGGGUUUGCCAAGUCUCAAUCUGACUCUUCUUUAUUUAUUUUGCAUAAAUUUGGGAUCACUGUCUAUUUUCUUAUCUAUGUGGAUGAUAUAAUUAUCACUGGAAAUCAGAUUUGGGGGUUCGUCAUGUAAUAGUUGGUCUUUCCAAUCUCUUCUCUUUGAAAGACCUUGGACAACUCCAUUACUUUUUGGGUGUUGAGGUUAUCUCUUCUACUGAUGGUCUUUUUUUUAUCUCAGCACAAGUAUAUUAUGGAUCUUUUACAUGACGUUGGCAUGAUAGGUUUUAAAGGAGCCCCUACACCUAUGACUUCAACUGCCACUUUGACAGCUUCGGUGAAUGAUCCUCCAACUGAUGGUAAUAUUUAUCGAUGGGUAAUUGGAAAGUUGCACUACUUAUCCUUUAUACGUCCUAAUAUUGCCUUCACAGUUAGCAAGUUUUCUCAAUUUAUGCACAAUCCACGUCACUGUCACUGGAAAGCAGUCAAGGGAUUACUUUAUUAUCUUUAUCACACCUGCCAAUAUGGUAUACGGAUCACAAAAGCUCCAGAUUCUCAUCUGGUUGUUUAUUUUGAUUCGGAUUGGGCUGGCGAUUCGAAAGAUCGUACCUCUCUAGAUGGAUAUGGUAUUUUCAUGGGCAGCACACCAAUUUCCUGGUCCUCAAAGAAACAACGCUCAGUCUCUCGAUCCUCUACAGAAGCUGAGUACAGAGGUGUGGCUGCUGCUGUUCCAGAAACCAACUGGCUCACAAAUCUUCUUCGUGAAAUUUGUCUUUCACUUAAGGGGGUUCCGCAGGUUUUCUGUGACAACAUAAGCACCACUUACAUUUGUUCCAAUCCAGUUUUCCAAAGUAGGAUGAAGCAUGUAGCCAUUGAUUUUCACUUUGUUCGUGAACAAGUCCAGAACAAAGAUAUUGAAGUACAUCAUGUUCACUCAGCUGAUCAAGUGGCUGACAUACUCACAAAACCACUUACCAAAGCCACUUUUGUACAGCAAUUUUCCAAGUUGGGUGUUGUUGACACCACUAACUUGCGGGGGCGUAAUAAAGGAUAAAAUCAACUCCUAUUUUUUAAAUUUCAAAUUUAGUAGUUCCUUCUCUUUAGGACUCUUGUAUAUAGAUAAGUAUUAUCCUUUUCUUAGUUUAUCUCUUUGUUGUAUUGUAUUUAUAUAUACUCAGACUACAAUCAAUGAGAAGUAUCGUUCCUUUCAUUCCAUUAACAAUCUUAUACUUCAUAUCUAUUACCCGAACCUAAUUUUAGCAUAUUUUUGUCACUCCUUUUGUACUGACGUGGCACCUUUAUUAGAUAAAAUGGAGCCCACUUCAAAGGUGCUACAUCAUCGAUAAAGCCUGCCAAAAGGUGUCAGUCAGCUAACAAGGUUCACAAAAAUACGCUAAAAUUUAGUUCAAGGGGUAAUAGGACUCCUGUGAGGUUGGAGUGUGUUGUAGCAAAUUCGUUCAUAGCUCAGGUGGUACUAGAUAUUUUACUCUUAAGCAAACUCUCAAUACUUUGUUCACAUUAUAUUAUUUCCUUCGUUUCAUUUUGUUUGACACUAUUUUCUUAUUACAUCGUCAAAAUAAUAUUAACAUUCUUAUAAUUUAUUAAUUAAAAGCAUUUAUAUUCAAACAAAUAUUAUGACAUGUGUUAGAGUUUGUGACCCGAAUUUUAUUGAUCCAGACCUGAAAAGUUCAUGGUGCAAUCCAUGUUUGAGAUUUUUUGGGGGGUCUGUGGUGGUAGCGGAGGGAUUGAGCCGAUAGUGAGUUAUUUUUGGGCUUAGUAUUUAUUUGUACGCACGUAUUAUAUAAGUCCGUUUAGUGGAUUGUUUUUGGUGGUUUUUGAUAUACGUCAUUGACACUUUUGUCUCCUCCUUGUAUUCCUCUCCAUUAUAGUGAAUUUCCUCCUCCUCUGCCCAUGGUUUUUCCCGUCAAGGGUUUCCACGUAAAAUUUGUGUGUUCUUGUUUUCUUUUGUUUGUGGUAUUGCUUAUUCCUGUCCAUUCAAUAACAACAUGUUUAUUGUUAGGACCCAAAUAAUCAGUCUUUAUGCGGAUACUAACCAAGAAAACCUCGAAAGAUGCUAAAGUAUAUAAAGGAAAAAGAACACAAGGCAAUCAAACUUCUGAAUUUGUUAUAAUCUUACCUUUUGACAACUUAAUGUUCAGCAAACCAUGAUUAAUAGAACACCUCUUGUUUCAGAAAUAGUAAGUUUGAAAGAAAUUGGCUAAACAAGUAUUUUGAAAGUUCACCAACAGACAGAAGAAUGAAAUUCCAAGAUAAUCAGGACAGUAUGGGAUUCAAUUUCAAUGUGGCCUUACCUGUCUGCCAUUUUUCACAGUGAUUUGAUUAAUGGAAUCCAAGGAUGCAUACAGUAUAAAGAUUCAGCGAAGGAGAUCAAAAGGAUAAUUUUAUUAACUCUGGCAGCAAGCUUUUAAAUACACAAUAUACAACUAACUGGACCUAAAGUGCAGGCCACUAUCUGCACAUUAUCUAUAGCUAACUAACUAAAGCUAACUAUUCCUAAAUAUGCUCCAAACAUCAGAGACUUAGUCAAAUUGUAAAAACUAGUAACAAGAGAUAAAUAAAGAUAGUUAAUACACCCCCUCAAGUUAGGUAAGGUGAAACAAUGCCUAACUUGGAACGACACCUAAUAAAGGCUGAUCUAGGCAGUGGCUUGGUGAAGGUAUCAGCAAGUUGAUCACAAGCAUGAGUAUGAGUAACAUUAACUAAAUGAGCAUGAACCUGAUCACAGCCAUAUGCAAAAUCUACGGGUAUGGAACACUGGGUUGUGAGAUAGAUAAGUUACUCCAACAUUGUCACAGUAGAUUGUUAGAAUCUUCGGAAUGGUGACAUGUAAUUCAUGAAGUAAGUUUUGCACCCAUGUGAUCUCUGCAAGUGCAUUGGCUACUGAUUUGUACUCUGCCUCAGUGGACGAGCGAGCCACUGCACGUUACUUUAUGGAUGACCAACUAACUGGAUUUGAUCCAAAGAAAAGUAUGUAACCUAAUAUAGAGAUUCUAUCAUUUGGAUUGCCAGUCGGCAUCAGCAUACGUAUACAAAUUGGAGUCAGAGCUACGAAGGAUGCGAAGUCCUGAACUUGCGGUUUCUUUGAGAUACCAUAGGACUAAUUUAACUGCUUUCCAAUGUUCAUCAGUCGAAGUAUGCAUAAAUUGUGACAAUUUAUUGACUGCAUAAGAUAUGUCAGGCUGAGUGAGGGACAGUUACUGCAAUUUGCCAAGGGUACGCCGGUAGCUUGUGGCAUCAGUUGGUGGCGAACCAUCAUCUACUCAAAGGGGUACACUGGAACACAUGGGAGUGGAAACACCUUUACAAUUAUCCAUAGCUAUUUCAGAAAGAAUUUCCAAAAUGUAUUUUGAUUGAGAAAGAAUGAGACCACCUAGUACUUGCUUAACAUCAACACCCAAAAAGUAGUUUAGAUAGCCAAGAUCCUUCAAUGAAAAUCUUUCUGCCAAGGAAAUGAUAACACAUUUAAUCAUGUGUGGAUGGUUUCCAGUGAUUAUGACGUCAUCAACAUAGACAAGAACAUAAAUGGUUACAGCCAAAUGCUUCCAUACAAACAAAGAGGUGUCAGAUUCUAUUCUGACAAAGUUCAGUUUCAGCAGAUGUUCAUGCAGAGCAUUAUACCAAGCCUGGGGAGCUUGUUUGAGGCCAUAGAUAGCCUUCUUCAAUUUGCAGACAUGAGUUGGAAAUUGGGGAUUAAUAAAGCCUCGGGGUUGCGACAUAAAAACUUCUUGAUCCAAUUUUCCUUGUAGGAAAGCAUUAUAAAGUUUAAACUAUUCUUUGCUAGCAAUAACAGGUAAAGAAAAUUUCCCCAAAAUAAAAUUUAGACUUCUAGAGUGGGGAUGACCCAAUCGACAAUGCCAAUGUUGAAGUGGGGCUUUUGUGGAGGCAAGGUGAAUGGAAGGUUUCCUUGAUGGCAAACAUGGACACUCAUACAGUUUAUUUUUGUUCCAACCUUGUACCAGCGGCUUUAGAGUAUGCAAGUCCUUCACAACAAAAGUAAAAGGAAAAAAUUCAAUAGACGUGAGGUUAUCUUGACAAAACUUAGCAAUAGAGAUGAGAUUCUUUUUUAUUAAUGGAGGACAAAGUGUGUCAGAAAGCUUAAAAGCAAAUUUAGAUGCCUGAAUUAGAGUUGAACCAAUAUGAAUGAUGGGAAUGGUUUUACCGUCACCCAUAGAGAUUUCUUCGGUUCCUGUAUACCCUUCAAGGUUGUGAGGUUCGACAGUGACAUGGUGAGUUGCUCCAGUGUCUAAAACCCAAGAGUUUCUAGACGAUUGCUGCCCAGAUGCAAAGUUAGCCUAAGCUUCAAAAUGAUUGUGCAACUUGGAGCGACAAACAUCUGCCGUGUGACCAAACUUUUGGCACAACUUACAUUUGAAAAAUUGCUUGGGUGGUCGCUCAUUUUGCUGAUUGUUGGAAUUUGAUUGCUGAUUGUUAGAAUUCCAUUGUUAAGACUACGAUGUUUCCAUGGCUGAUUGUUGAAGUGAGGAUUGUUCCUAUUGAAUGUGGAUGCGUGUUGGACUUCUAAGCAACAGCAGCUGAGAUCAUAGAUGGUUUUUCCAGAUCUUGAUAUUUUAGAAAAAGCUCAUGAUCUGUGAGCUUGUGAAAUAAUUCUUCAAAGCUCAAAGGAGAGUCUCGUGCUCAUAUCCUAGCAGAGAUUUCACGAUACUCGGGGCCUAGGCCACUUAAAAUUUUGACAAUAAGUUUAACAUCACUGAUAGGUGAACCAGCAACUUUAAGAGCAUCAGAGAGGGAACAAACCUCCUAUAAGUAUUCUGCAAUGGUUUUGGAAGUCUUCUUGGUGUUCUGCAGUUGAUCUCGCAAGCUGAAGAUGUAAGUAUGGCAUUUGUUGGCGUAGGUUGUGUGAAGGAGUUCUCACGCUUUGUUAGCAGAUGGUGCUGCUGCAAUAGUUAGAGCAAUUGUAGGAUUGACUGAUGUCAUCAUUGCUUGUUAGGUCAAUUGAUCCUGGGAGAACCAGAUCUGAUAACUGGGAUUUAGUACAGUAAGACCAUUUUAGGUAAUAGUAGGUGAUGGAGCAAUUGUGGUUCCAUCAAGAUGUCCCAUGAGUUGAUGCCCAUUUAGUAGCAUUACAAGUUGUGCUUUCCAUGUUGAGAAGUUGAGAUUACCUUGUAGUUUAAUAGGUAAUUGAGCAAUGGGAUUAAAUUGUACCACAUGAGUAGUGGUAGAAACUCCAUAACCACUGGCAUUAACAGCAUCAUUUACUUGAGCCAUAGAUGAGAAAGAUUAAGGAGAAUGAAAUCGAUCUGACUUGGUGGAGCUUAUGGGUGUCUGAUACCAUAUAAAGAUUCAUAGAAGGAGAUCAAAAGGAUAAUUUUAUUAACUCUAGCAGCAAGCUUUUAAAUACACAAUAUACAACUAACUGGACCUAAAGUGAAGGCCACUAUCUGCUCAUUAUCUACAGCUAACUAACUAAAGCUAAUUAUUCCUAAAUAUGCUCCAAACAUCAGAGACUUAGUCAAUUUGUAACAACUAGUAACAAGAGGUAAAUAAAGAUAGUUAAUAUACAGGAUUUUGUAUGGGCCGUUACCUGUCUGCCACUUUUCACAGUGAUUGAUUGUAAAAUUGUGUAUUUAUAAAAAAAGUGUGAAACAAAGAAAUCAACAAAUGAAAUUGUGUAGUUAUCAAAGUUUCUAAGUUUUCUAACGAGGUAAGGCACAAAUAUACCCCUAAACUAUACCUGAAGUUCCUAUUACCUCUUAAACUCAUUUUUUUCUAAUUAGCUUAAGAUUGAUGUCGCGAUGAAACAUGAUCGUAUCAUAUACUCAUUGCUACAUAAUAUUCACAAAUAGUUCUUAGUGGUUGUUCCUAUUCACUUUGGUGGCACGUUGGAGGAUCUAUACAAGACAUAGUUUGUUCAAUUGGAAUAUUAAUACUACUACUGAAUGUCCGCUAUGAGAGGUUGCUGAUGAAAUGUUGAGCAUCUAUUUUUUAGGUGUCCAUACUCAGCGGACAUAUGGCGCAGGCCCCUUCUUUGGUUAAAUAUUAACAAACAGGCAAUAGUGGUUAAUACUGGUGGUAAUUGACGUUGGCAAUUGAUUCAAAUGUGUGAAUUUUAAUACAAUUCCAAAAGAAAACUACAAUUGAAUUCUCCUCAGUUGAAUGAAGGAGAUCCAAUGAUCAUUAGAUACAGCAUCCCUCAACUUUAAAAUGCUUAUCGAUGGACGAUACUUGGUGCACAUAAAUUCCACCACCCUGCAUCACCAAUAGUUGCAGUGAACGUGCAUGGUCAAGGGAGAAAUUAAUGGUGUAUGAGAUUCAAAAGCCUUCUUCAAUGACCUUUAGCUACCAUGUUCCAUCGACUACAACCAGCACGCUAAACCUACAAAAGAGGCUCGAGCAAAAAAGUGUGGAGAAAGAUCAACGUAGAACUGAUAACUGCAGUUCUCCUAUGCAGAACAAUGGAUCAAUACCCGGUUCUAUAUAAAGUUGAUGCUGCUGCAUCUUCAUCAACGGUCCAAGUAGAAUCAGUCAUGCCGAACCUCCGUCCUGUAUAUGAAGAGUUCUCGACUGGGAAACUUUAUGGUCUCAUGUACGGAUUACCCUAACCCUUGGAAACCUCUGAACUAGCAGUAAACAUGUGCCAUAACUUACUAAACAAGCAGACAUCCAAAGAUACUGCAUAGUCUCCAGCCUUGCAGCAUUGACCAACAGCCUUGUCACUGAAGGAACAGUCUCUAAUCUCCAAGGAGAGGACAUUGUGGAGGCCUAGAUCACUAUUACCCAUCAAGAUGUCCCAUGAGUUGAUGCCCAUUUAGUAGCAUUACAAGUUGUGCUUUCCAUGUUGAGAAGUUGAGAUUACCUUGUAGUUUAAUAGGUAACUGAGCAAUGGGAUUAAAUUGUACCACAUGAGUAGUGGUAGAAACUCCAUAACCACUGGCAUUAACAACAUCAUUUACUUGAGCCAUAGAUGAGAAAGAUUAAGGAGAAUGAAAUCGAUCUGUCUUGGUGGAGCUUAUGGGUGUCUGAUACCAUAUAAAGAUUCAUAGAAGGAGAUCAAAAGGAUAAUUUUAUUAACUCUAGCAGCAAGCUUUUAAAUACACAAUAUACAACUAACUGGACCUAAAGUGAAGGCCACUAUCUGCUCAUUAUCUACAGCUAACUAACUAAAGCUAAUUAUUCCUAAAUAUGCUCCAAACAUCAGAGACUUAGUCAAUUUGUAACAACUAGUAACAAGAGGUAAAUAAAGAUAGUUAAUAUACAGGAUUUUGUAUGGGCCGUUACCUGUCUGCCACUUUUCACAGUGAUUGAUUGUAAAAUUGUGUAUUUAUAAAAAAAGUGUGAAACAAAGAAAUCAACAAAUGAAAUUGUGUAGUUAUCAAAGUUUCUAAGUUUUCUAACGAGGUAAGGCACAAAUAUACCCCUAAACUAUACCUGAAGUUCCUAUUACCUCUUAAACUCAUUUUUUUCUAAUUAGCUUAAGAUUGAUGUCGCGAUGAAACAUGAUCGUAUCAUAUACUCAUUGCUACAUAAUAUUCACAAAUAGUUCUUAGUGGUUGUUCCUAUUCACUUUGGUGGCACGUUGGAGGAUCUAUACAAGACAUAGUUUGUUCAAUUGGAAUAUUAAUACUACUACUGAAUGUCCGCUAUGAGAGGUUGCUGAUGAAAUGUUGAGCAUCUAUUUUUUAGGUGUCCAUACUCAGCGGACAUAUGGCGCAGGCCCCUUCUUUGGUUAAAUAUUAACAAACAGGCAAUAGUGGUUAAUACUGGUGGUAAUUGACGUUGGCAAUUGAUUCAAAUGUGUGAAUUUUAAUACAAUUCCAAAAGAAAACUACAAUUGAAUUCUCCUCAGUUGAAUGAAGGAGAUCCAAUGAUCAUUAGAUACAGCAUCCCUCAACUUUAAAAUGCUUAUCGAUGGACGAUACUUGGUGCACAUAAAUUCCACCACCCUGCAUCACCAAUAGUUGCAGUGAACGUGCAUGGUCAAGGGAGAAAUUAAUGGUGUAUGAGAUUCAAAAGCCUUCUUCAAUGACCUUUAGCUACCAUGUUCCAUCGACUACAACCAGCACGCUAAACCUACAAAAGAGGCUCGAGCAAAAAAGUGUGGAGAAAGAUCAACGUAGAACUGAUAACUGCAGUUCUCCUAUGCAGAACAAUGGAUCAAUACCUGGUUCUAUAUAAAGUUGAUGUUGCUGCAUCUUCAUCAACGGUCCAAGUAGAAUCAGUCAUGCCGAACCUCCGUCCUGUAUAUGAAGAGUUCUCGACUGGGAAACUUUAUGGUCUCAUGUACGAAUUACCCUAACCCUUGGAAACCUCUGAACUAGCAGUAAACAUGUGCCAUAACUUACUAAACAAGAAGACAUCCAAAGAUACUGCAUAGUCUCCAGCCUUGCAGCAUUGACCAACAGCCUUGUCACUGAAGGAACAGUCUCUAAUCUCCAAGGAGAGGACAUUGUGGAGGCCUAAAUCACUAUUACCCACCAAAGAUACGAAGAGCAUCUCUAGAUUUUUAGCAUGGGCCCUGAUGUAAUAGAACACGCGAUCUUUAAGGAGGCCAGAAAGGGCCCCAAAACCAGCAUCGAGCGGUCCAAGGGUUAGGUAAUCAGGAUAUUGAGGACUGACUAAACACAAACGAAAUAGGAUCAAGUUAGUACGGUUCCUUGUAAUAGUAACUAAGGAGGAAUUUUUCAUUUUGCGGCAGAAGUAUAGAACUGAGUGGAGCUUAGGAAAGCACACAGAGAUAUGUACAAGGCCUUGCUCUGUCAAGGAUACAUUCGGUUCUUACGCAUAAGUAAAUUCCCUAAGGUCUCAAGGUCCUUACAAUAGGUGGCAAUAUCCUCAAGACCGAUUUCUUCAACAUAACCACGCACCUGCAGUCACAUUCAGAUACAAACUAAGAUUAAAAUAUUUUUCACCUGUAAGGACAAAAGUACUAGAAAAAGGGUAAUCUACAAGGAAAAACAUACUCUCUCCAUUUCUAUGCAUGUGUGUUACCUUACUUUUUAUCCCUUUAAAAAAAAGAGCAUAUCAUUUUGUAUUUAGUAUGAUUUUAAUUCUAGCAUUGUCAUUUUACAUUCAAUGAUACUCCCAUGUCGGAAUGUUGUGGCAGGUCUGAGACCACAAGAUUCCAUUUUAUCACGAGCACAGUUGUUAUAUCUAGUCUCGAAACUAUUAAGAACAUAUAAAUCUAUUGAAAAAGAAACAUCAAGCUAGAACUCAUAAUAUGUGGUACCAUGGCUCAAAAUCAAAGACACGAGGUUGUCGUGGACAUGACAUAUAAGUGAAAAAAUAUGCUGGCACUCAGUGGCGGAGCCAUACUUUUCUUUAAGGGGAUUUAGAAGUAAAUAUAUGGAUUAGUUGAAGGGGGUUCAACAUCUAUAAUACAUACAUAAAAAUAUUUUUGACCAUAUAAAAAUAGUAUAAUUUUUCGACGAAGGAUUUCAGAUGAACCCCCUGAAUUGCAUGUGGCUUCGCCACUACUGACACUGUGUCCCAAAAGCAUAAUGCACAUUUAUCUAAACUCCAUCAGGAUUAACCUGUAUGCCAGUAAAGUAGGCUCCAGUAUCUAUAAAUGUAGAGAAUGAAGAUGAAGUUGUUUGAUUUCAUUGAUAUUUAUGUGUAUAUAUACAAGAGAACACAAACUAAAUAAGGAAAGAAUCAACUAAUAAAGAAUUGUGAUCUUCUCCUAAGUAGAAACUGAAUCACUAUAAGAUACUAAAUCAAUCAUGAGAUAUCUUAACAUGUGGUACAUGCUCUAUUAUGCGCCCCUCAAGUUAGGUGUGACAAGACAACACCUAAUUUGGGUAGCAUCCACUAGAAGGCUAGCUUAGACAAUGGUUUGGUGAGUGGAUCUGCAACUUGAUCAGUGGAGUGGAUGUGUGAUACUCGGACAAGGCCAUUGCGAACUUUAUUGUGAACAAAGUAAAGAUUGAACUUGAGGUGCUUUAUUUUUGUAUGAUGUACCAGGUUUUUAGAAAUGUAUGUGACCCUAAGGUUAUCACAAAGCACUGUAGGUGUAGUAGAGAGUGGCACAUAAAGAUCCCUGAGCAAGUGAGUGGUCCAGUUUAUUUUAGCUAAGGCAGAGGCAACUACCCUAUACUCAGCCUCACUGGAGGAUCAGGAGAUGGUGGGCUGCUUAUGAGAAUUCCAGGAAAUAGGAUUCUUACCUAGAAAAACAAUUUAGCAAGAGAUUUAACAGCAAUCAUUAAUAUCGCCCGCCCAAUCAGCAUCAGCAUAGGCAUAAAGAUCAGUGGACUGAUGUGGAGAAAUAUGAAUACCAUUCUGGGAUAUUUCUUUGAGGUACCCAAGGAUGCGUUUAACAACCUUCUAAUGAACCAUGGAAAGAGAAUUGUUGAGCUGAAUAAGCUUGUUUAUUGAAUAUGUGAUAUCCGAUCUGGUAAAAGAAAGGUACUGAGGUUUACCAAGUACACUCCUAUACUCUUUGCCAUCAGUUUUAGGGACUUUAUCAUCUACAAAUAGUGCCUCAGAUGUACUCAUUAGGGACUGAACGCCUUUGUAGACUUGCAUCUGCGAGUCAUGCAACACCUCUUGAAUAUACUUAGAUUGACUAAAAAAUAGGCCGUUGGCAUGCCUGUGUACCUCAAUGCCCAAGAAAUAGUGCAGUAAGCCAAGAUACUUAAGAGAAAAUCUUUUGGAAAGAGAAGUAAUGACUUUUUGAAGGAGUGAUCAUUGCUGAACAUGAGUAUGACAUCGUCCACAUAUAUUAGUAAAUAAAUAGUUACGCCCAAGUUAUUGUAACACCCCGUACUUUUCCUAGUUUCAUUUAGUGUUGAGAACACCAAGCAUUGUCUUCAAGAGAGAAUGAAUUUUCAUACAUACAUAAUUUUUCAAGUUUUCGACCUUCCAAUGUGUAUAAAAUUGAAUUAGCUUUCCAACAAUAUAAUAUUUUCCUAAAUCCGAUCACCAAGUAAGAAGUUAUGGCCAUUUUAAGUUCCAGUCGCAAAACAUCGUUAUUUCGAUCACUAGCGCGUCGCGGCGAGGGUUUAAAUGUCAAUUGUAUAUUUCCAGUGGACCUCUGCAAUAUUGGUGCAUCACGGAGAGGUCCAAAUUUCCAAUUGUACAAAUCCAAUAGCCCAAGGCAAUACUGGCGUGUCGUGCCAGUGGACAAAAUGGCAAACUAAAGGGCACCGCGAUGGUGGCGCAUCGCGGAGAGAGCCCAGUUCCCACUCUUCCCUUUUCCAGUGAGCCAUCACGAUUAUGGCGCAUCGCGGUGGACACCCAUCUCAGAAAAUAUUAUGUUUUUCCAGUCCGUUUAGUAGUUCAAAGAGGGUAUUUUGCUAAUUUACCCAGCCCCAAUCCAUCCAAUACACAAGAUUAAUUAUAUUCCAAGCACUUUAUGCUCAUUAUUCAUCAUUCUCUACAAAAGAAAAACUCUAGAAACCAAAAGCUCCUUCUCCAAGAAACCUAAUUCCUCCAUUAAUUCUCCAAGGCAAUUCAAGAUUUAGGAUUCCCAACUCAAGAACUCUAAGAAUUCAACUUUAAAAGUAUCAAUAGAGAUCCAAGAUUCAGGUCUUAGCAUCUAGCUCAUCAAUUGAGAUAUGUGGGGUUUUUCAACAAGUAUAAUCCUUUCAUCCUUGUGCCUAAAAAUUAUUUUAAUUGCAAAUUUACUGAAUUUUAUGUGAUUUCCCAUGAAAUUGAAGUUAGGGUUUAUACCCAUUAUUGUUAUUUACAAGCUUAUGAGAUUUCCAAUGAUUUAGAAGUUGAAUUACAUGAUUAUGUUCAUAUUUUCAUACAUAUUGCAGAAUUUUACAGAUUUUGAAUUAAUUUAUCAAUGUUUACAUUAUCAAGCAUGAAUAUUUUGAUGUUAUAAAUGAGUUUGAUGCAUGGGUCACUAAGCCCUAAUUAAAAAUUGCUAUUUCGAGCUUUGUUGUGCUAUAAGCACCCUAUGACUAGAUUUCCUUCAGAUUAUUGAAAAAGAUUUGACCUUUUGGUCUCAGAAUAGAUAUGAAAUCCACUUUACAAUUCAGAUUAAAGAUUUAACUUUACACAUAUACAGUUGGUUUUCAUUAUAAACCAUUAGACUAUUAUAAAAGUGGAUUUCCAUCAGAAUGAGCAUACAGAUUUAAUGGGAGUAGUAUUUAGCACCGAGAUGGGUACGUUACUACGAUUUCAUACCCCAAAACUGCAUGCCAAUAUAGGAUUUAGAUUGUUCCCACUUCUACGUGGAUGAUAGAUAUGUGAUCACUUAGAUAGGUUAUACUCCCUGGCAAGAGUAUGACUCCUCUCCCCAAUGUGAGGAUUCCUCCUUAGGGGGACAAGAACAUUGGACUCCAUGAAUGCUCACAUGGUUUAUGUCGGUUAGAAGAACCUCCCAUGCAGAAUGACUUUUCAGAUUUCACUUAUCCUAUAUGAUUUGAGAAUAAAAACAGAAUACAGAUUUCAAAAUUAAGUGUAAUGGCUCACAAGAUUUACAUUAUAUGCUUUAUUAUUCAUGAUUUAUGAUCUUCAGUUUUCGGAUUACUCAAUCCUAUGUGAGUCAUUUACAUUUAGCAUGCAUGAUUUUAUAAAUUGUGAUGAUGUUGUUUACUUAUUGCAUUCACCCCAUAUGCUCAAUACAUUCUCAAAGUACUGAUCCGCAUAUACAUUUGUGUGCUACAUUGUCUCAUAAUGUAGGUUCAGGUGCUCAGUCUCAGCAGCAUGAGUGAUCUUCGAGCAUCUCCUCUAUAUUUCUGCAGUUGGUGAGUCCUCAUAAUUCGGGGACUUAGCUAUUCAGAUUCCCAGUUUAUUAGUAGAUAAUUUAGUAUUCAUUUCAGACAGUUUUAGUCAACUGGGGCUUGUCCCAGUGACUCCCUAGAUUCAGUCAGUAGAGGCUUGUCGGACUACUAAAUUCAAUUUUAGAUUUUAGUGGCAGUACUCAGAUUUCUAGUAUUUGCUUUAUCAGACUGAUGAGAUUAGUAUUUUCAAAUAUACUCAGAUAUUUCAAAUCAUUUUUUGUAUUUAUUAUGAUUUUACAUUCAUAUCCCCUAUUUUGAAAUUUAGACUUAGUAGAAGGCAGCCAGGGUUAGCUCAGGACUACUUGUAGUUCGGAGCACCGUGUGGCAUCCUGGAAAACCAGAUUUUGGGACUUUAUAGUUAUGCAGAACAAAUAAAGAAUUAUCAGAUUCAGACAUACAGAAUCUGAUUAGAGAAUCAGUGAGUGAAUCAUAACAGGCUUUAGGAGCUUGUCGAAGUCUGUAGAUAGCAUUUUUGAGAUGACAGAUAGAGUCAGGAUAUUCUAAACUUUCAUACCUGGGUGGUUGGGUCAUAUAGAUAUCUUCGUGAAGCUUCCCUUGAAGAAAAGCAUUAUUGACAUCUAUUUGAUGUAAGGGCCAACUUUUUUGUACAGUAAUGGUGAGAAUGGUCCGAAUUAUGUUUGGUUUAACCACUGGGUUGUAUGUUUUAUGAAAAUUAACCUCAGGCAUUUGGGUGAACCCUUUUGCAACCAAAUUUGCUUUAUACCUAUCAAUGGAGUCAUCAGGCUUGGUUUUGAUUCAAAACAACCAUUUACAGGGAACAAUAUUUCUGUUGUGGUCCGGUGGAACCAACUCCCAAGUUUGGUUUUUUAUUAGUGCAUCAUACUCAACCUGCAUAGCAUCUCUCUAAUGUGAUAAUUUUUGUGCUUAUUUGUGGGUUACAGGUAAAAUAGGUAUAAGCUGGGUUAUUUGGGCAGUAUAGUCAACAAUUUUUUGUUGCUUGACAAUGUUAUUUUGCGACCUUGUUUACUCUAUUUAUGGAACUUCAACUAUGGGUGCAGUAGGUGGAGGCGAGUCAAGAGAGCAACUGCUCACACCUCUGUUGGCAUGGAGGGAUCAUGAUGACUUUGGACGACGCUGAUUAACAUAAGUAACUGGUGCUCAGCGAUGUAGAGAGCGAGGAUGCACAUAGAGGGCAGAGGGUUGGCUUUGAAAUAUGAUGUGGGAUGGGAAGUAGUUUGAGGAUUACCUGAUUCUAGAGUGGUGAAAUGAUCUGACUUUGUGUUAUUUCCCUGUGCGAUGCGAACUAAUCAGGUAUGUUGGUGUGCACCUGGCCUAAACGGAAUGGUGGGAGGAAGCGAGGUGAGAUCUAGAUUAAUAGUGGUGGAACUAAUUUCCAUAUCUUUAUUUUUAUGUUGUAAAGUGUUUACCCAAUUUAAAUUUGUAAAUUUUUGUUUAAAGUGAGAAUAAAUAUUAUCAAAUGGAAAAUUUUCUUCUAAAAACUUUACAUCCCGUGAGAGAAAAAUUUUAGAGCUGGUGGGAUCAAAACACUGAUAGCAAUGAUAAGUGACGGAGAAACCGAGAUAAACACAAGGUUUGGAAUAUGGUUCUAAUAUAUUUUGGGUGUAUGGUCGUAACCAUGGGUAUCAUAGAAAUCCAAAUGUGUGGAGAGAUUCAUAAGUAGGUGUUUCGUUGAAAAGAACUUCAAAUGAGGACUUGUUAUCAAGAGUAGAAGUGGGCAGGCAAUUAAUGAGAAAGGUAUCAUGAUGGCAAGCAAAUUUCCAAAAAUUAAAGGGCAAACUUGUUUGAUGAAGCAACGUUUUGACAGUCUCAAUAAGGUGUUAAUGACAUCUUUCAUCUAGGGCUACCCUUUGAGGAGUGUGUUGUGGGGGAGACAAGGUGUUGUAUGCCAUUAGAAUUAAGGUAUGGUUCCAUGACUUUAUAUUCUCCGCCUCCAUCAGUGUAAAGUGUGAGCAUUUUGUGACCAAAAUAUUUUUCAAGCACAAGAUGUAAGCUUUGAAAGUGUUUUUACACUUAAUGUUUGUUUUUUAUUGUGUACAACCAAAUGUAUUUGGUAUAAUGAUCAACAAAUAGACAAUAGUAGAAUUUUUUAUCAAUAGACAGAACAGGGGGUGAACCCCAUGUUAAAUAUUGAUUCAAAGGUCGUUAGUGCUUCCUAGGUAGUUGGCAUUGUAACAGGUUUGUUAGGAAUCCUAGUUUAGUUAAAGCAAAUCUCUGUUAGUUGCUAAGAUUUAGGUUAGUGGAUAAUUAGUGUCGAGUAAGUGGGCAUGUUUAUCAGUAAGUGGUUAGGUUUAUUUUUAUUCCUAUUUAUAGAGUCCUAUGUAACUUGGUUUAAUGGUAUAAAUGAAAAUACAUGAAGUUCUCUGCAACUAUAUUCUUCUUCUUACACAUUGCUCCUCUUUUCUUCAACUCCCCAAUAGUUUUUAGUAUUAAAACGGCAAGAGAGUAUCUUUUUCUAAAUUUUUUCUCUCUAUCCAGGUUAGGUCAAACUGGGAAAUAAGGCAAUUGCAAGAAUAAAAUCAAAAUUGAAGGUAAAGAAUGGCUACCAAUGUAGCAUCUUCCAUAUCUCAGCAACUAAUUCCCAUUAUUAAUGGAGAUAAAUAUGAAUUCUGGAGCAUAAAGUUGAAGACAUUGUUCAAGUCUCAAGAAUUGUGGGAUUUGGUGGAGAAUGGCUAUGCUGAGGAAGAUGAAGCACAAAGGUUGUGGGAGAACAAAAAGAAGGACUCUAAGGCGUUGUUCUACAUCCAGCAAGCUAUGCACGACUCGGUUUUUUCCAGAAUUACUGUUCCAGAAACCUCAAAGCAGGCAUGGCAUAUUAUGAAGAAAGAAUUCCAUGGCUCGACAAAGGUAAUGAUUGUCAAACUCCAGUCACUCCGACAUGAUUUCAAAAAUUCAUUCAUGAAAAGUAGUGAAUCUGUACAAGACUACUUAUCUAGAGUCGGUACAAUUGUUAAUCAUAUGAAGGCAUAUAGUGACAAAAUUACUAAUGAAACUGUAGUUUCUAAAGUUCUAAGAAGUCUUAAUUAAAGAUUUGAUCAUGUCGUAGCUGCCAUUGAGGAAUCCCAUAAUUUAUCUGAUUAUGGUUUUGAUGAAUUGAUGAGUUCCUUACAAGCUCAUGAGGAUAGACUGAAUGCCUCUCAAGAAAAGAGUGAAGAGAAGGCAUUUCAGAUCAAGGGAGAGUCUUUUUUCAAAGGUAAAUCAGAAGUCUCAAAUGCCAGAAGAUGCAUAGGCAGAGUUAGUUUUCGUGGUCGAGGUCAUGGCAGAGGACGAACUCAAUUUAGUGUUGAUCACCGGCAGUUCAAGAGAAAUAUUCAGUACCGCUAUUGCAGAAAAAUGGGGCACAAGGAAGUUGAUUGUUGGACUAAAUAGAAGGAUGAACAACAACAUGCAAAUUUUACUGAGAAACAACAAGGGGAGGGUAAUCUGUUCAUGGCUCACUCCUCAGUAGAUGCUGGUUUGGAUGAAGUUUAGAUCAUUGAUAGUGGUUGCUCCAACCACAUGUCUGGCAGAAGGUCAUUUUUCAAAGAACUUGAUGAAUAGGAGAAGUCAUAAGUUUGGCUUGGGUAUGGCAAGGCAAUGAAAGUCGAAGGGAAGGUAUAAUAAUUGCUCUAAAAACUUCUCAUGGUAAUGUAAAAUUUCUCCAUGAUGUGCAGUAUGUUCCUUGUCUCGCCCAUAACUUUUUGAGUGUUGGCCAACUGAUAACUUGUGGAUACUCUAUUCUGUUUGAUUACAAUUCUUGUAGCAUUCAAGACAAAAAAAAAACAGGAUACAAAAUUGUUGACAUUCAAAUGACUCAAAAUAGAAUGUUUCCUCUUGAAGUUUCUGAUGUUAAAACUUUUGCAUUAGUUACCAAAGAUAGUACCGAAGAUAAUUUAUGGAAUUUGCAGUAUGGUCAUUUGAAUGUAAAGGGGUUGCAAUUAUUAGGUCGUAGAAACAUGGUUCUAGGUUUGCCUAGAACUGAUGCUCUUGAAUUCUGUGAAGGAUGCAUGUAUGGGAAACAAAAUAGAAAUUCAUUUCCCAUAGGCAAGUCUUGGAGAGCUUCUGGUUGUCUUGAACUGGUGCAUACUGAUCUAUGUGGUCCUAUGAGUGUUGAGUCCUUAGGUGGAAGUCGAUAUUUCCUACUUUUUACGAAUGAUUAUAGUCGAAUAAGUUGGGUGUAUUUCUUGAAAUUCAAAUCUGAAACAUUUGAGAAUUUCAAGAAAUAUAAGCUUUUUGCUAGAAACAAAGUGGUUGUAGAAUCAAGACUCUUCGAACAGAUAGAGGUGGUGAAUUUAUGUCAAAUGAAUUCAAAACUUUGUGAGAAAUAUUGUAACACCCCGCAUUUCGGGCUAGAACGAAAACCGUCGUUUCUAUGCGUAGAUGAUCCAAAAGCCAUAAAUCUUAUACAAAUUUGGGAUGUUAAUCAAUUAUGUAGUGUGAGAACCUAUUUUAGCAUGAAUUGAGAUCAUAGAGGUCCCCAAACUCAAGGACGAGUUGAAAGCUUUCCUAUCGUUCGAGUUUGAGUGAGCGUUGAAACUUGGGUCAACUUCAAUUGACCAUAACUCUUUGUAUAUAAUGAAUUAGAGGACCUACUUAUAUCAAAUGAAAGCUCUUCAGAUUAGCUUUCCAACAAUAAUAAUUUCGCAAAAAUCCGAUACCCGAGCGAAAAGUUAUGGCCAUUUUUGUGAUUGAGACAGUAGCAUCGCGAGAUUAGCAUGCGACGCACGUACCCAAUUUCUAGGUGUUGUUUUAGCGUUUUUAAGGGCACAAGUGGUAUUUUCCACCCCCUAUUCAGCCAUAACAUUGGAUUAAAUCCUCCAAACACCAAAAUAACAUUAUUUUCUCUCAAAAUCACCAAGAACACUCCUUAGGGUUUCAACCCAAAGAUCAAUAUAUCUCAAUAUUUAACCGUGGGUUUUCCUUAAUUCUUCAAGAUUCAAAAUCGGCAUUACGAGGGCUACAAGAAGCACCCAUCAAUCGUACGUAUAGCAUGCCAAAAGCUAGAGUUCAUUCAAAAGCUUCUAAUUUAAGGUACGUGGGGUUUUCCUAAAAUCUCAUGGGCAUAGAAAUCAUCUUUUAAUUAUGCAAAGGGUUUAGAAAUCAUGAUUUUAAGAAAAUGGUUUUGGAUUUAUGAUUAUAAACAUGUUUUAGAAGCCUGGAUGAUAUUGUUUGGUCUUUACUCGUUCCCCCAAAUUGAUUUGAAAUGAUAUAUAUAUUGUAAGCAUGUGUUUUAAGGUUGAUGAUUGAAUUUUCAUUUACUUAUGAUAUACUAUGAAAUCGUUUGAAUGCAUCUUGAAAAGCAUGUUAUGAAAUGUCUUGAAUAAUAUUAUAUUUGGAUUAUGAUUUUGAUUUCAAAAGAGAGAGGGUUGUUUAUGUUGAUGAAUGUUGAACAUAAUCAUAUAAUGAGAAGGGUUGCAUGGUUUGUUAAAGACUACAUGACCACCACUUGUUUAUUGAAAGGAUGGGAAUUUUGCAUAGUUUUGACUUAUGUUUUCGGAACAUGAAUUUCCUUUGUUAAAUUGCAUGUUUGGGUGGUCUAAACUAUUUUUUAAUAAAAGAAUCAUGCAUGAUGAAUUAUGUCUUAGAGAUAGGACUUGAAAUUCUUGGUGUGAUGACACCAAUCCAGAUAAUGCCAUGGUAAUUCAGAACAAAAUAGAAUGCAUGUUUGAAGUCAGAUUUUUCAGAUGUUGAAACUAGAAUAAUGCAUGAUUCUGAACAGGGUAAAAUUGGGAAUAAAGAGAGCUUAGGUGGUUACCCGAAGAAGGCAUGAGUUCAGACAACUCAUUGUCCAAAACCGUGAUUUACCAAUCUGAGUAUAUUGAGUAUAUUAUUAUACGCUGGCCUAGUGCCCUGUGGCGUAUCAGACUCAGACACCAACCCUUGCGGCACACUUGGGUUGGGGGCUUCCCCGUCGAGUCAAUGGUGGAUUCCAUAUAGCCCGUAGAAUAUCAGACUUGUAGGGGAAUGCCACCUAAAUCAGAAGUAAUACAAAGAUCAGAAACUGCUUUUGACAGAAAAGUUUUUUUAUGUUUUUUCAAGAAUGCCCAUGUGUUUUGAAAAUUAUAUCUUUCAUGAUGUUUAUGGCUAGCUCUCAACUAUUUUAUUUAUAUAAAAGCUUUAUUUUGGAUUGCUCUGCAUACUAGUACAAUUGUAUUGACCCCUUACCUCCAGGGUCUAAAGCUCAUUCAGAAGCCCUGCUAAGCUGUAGAGUUUUCAGACAGCAGUAAUGUGUGUAAUUGGUAAGCCUUCUUUAUUCCAGAAGGUCUAUGUCUUUCAGAUUAUGUUAUUUAUUUUGGUUUAGGUCCGUUGGGGGCCUUUUCCCAAUUUUUGAUACAAAUCAGUCCACCAAGAUGCCAAAACAGUCCACAAAAUGUAAGAAGAACAAGCAACACAAAGGGAUACAAAAUGACAAACACAAAAGCACACGGAUUUGCAAAAUAAUAAAAGGAUAGAUAGUGAGACCAAUAUUAUUACAAGAUUAAGAACCAAGUAUAUUUCAACAUUAACCCCUAAUGAAUGUAAUAAUUAAAACCACACUCUUACAGUGACCGCCAAGGUAAUCUACUUACCUCAAGAUCCACCGUUUCCAAGCAAAGAACGAUAUUGGCUUUUCCAAGCCCUAUACUAAGGAUGACUUUGUAAAGUCUUAACUAAUACUAUACUAAGGUGGUCUACUCUCAAGAGAGAGGAUUUCAAGUAUUUCAAUUUUUCAUCUUUCAGAAACUAACUAGCAAAUGAACUAAUAGAACCUAUUUAUAGUCUAACUUAUUACAUAACAAAAUGACCACAAUACCCUUAAUAAAAAGGGGUGGUCAUGGAGUGUUACUUGGACAAGGCUAAGUAACCAAAAUGUCCUUAAUGAAGGCCCAAAACUAUGAGUUCUCAAUCUUCAAUGCUCCAAACAAUCAUUCACACGUGGGAUUGCUCUUUGGUGUACUUAAAUCGGCCCCUCCAUGUAGGAUCCCAUUUUCUUAAUGUGACCAAAUCUUGAUGCCCCACGUACUGAAUUCAAAUGAUGUCAUUGAAAGCUAACGUGGCCAUUUGAAUUGUAUCACCUCCCCUUCUUGAAAAGGAUUUGUCCUCGAAUCCAAACCUUGCAAAACCAAAGAAAGGACACACAAAUACAAACUCCUCAUGGCAUGAGGGUUAGGGUAAGUACAACAAAUCACCUCAACAUGCCAAGGUUGAACAUAUUUAGAAUAUAACCAAGGAUCCUUUAAACUAAAUAUUACAUAAUUAAUGAAAAAUUCACAAAGGAUUUGGCUAUAGAAUUCACAAAAAAUGAUACUUUUCUUGUCAUGUAAACCAAGCAACAAGUUGGGUGCACCAUCAUCACCAAUUAUAUAUUUGGCACCGGGUUCAAACAGGAAGAGUGGCCAUAGACAUGGAACUAGACAACACUCCCCUUUCCAGUGGUCUCCACCUAAAAUAAACGGCAUACUCUCUACAAUAGCAUACAUAUUAUCCAGAGCAAAUAGAAAGUAGAGAAAGGUAUCACUCAAGUCGACUUCUACUAAGGUGUCCUCAUAUGUAUACUCACUACUAGUUUCACAAUCAUCACCAUGAGUACUAUCAACAAUAAAGUCACAAAAAGUAGAAGGAGAAGCAGUUUCCAAAACCACACAUCUCUUACCCUUAAGAGUACUCUCAUCUUCCAAGAAGAGAUUUUCAUCUUUAGGAGGAAUGUUGUCACACCAUAAUGGGUUAGCAUAUUGGCUAUAGCUUCUAAGGAAAACUAUACCAUCAUUUCCACCACUAGGUUCAUUAGGAGUGGUCAUAUCAUCUUCAAACAAGACAUUAUACCUUAAGAGAGCAUGAUAUAUUUCACGGGCAGAUUCAAACAAACACGUUCAUCACUCUCUAAAAGAUCAAUAUCAAGUUUCAAAGAGAUUUCAAGUGCAAGAUUAUCCCAAGAAUAGCUCUCGGGUUCACUCCUAUUCCUUUGAUCAAUAUUUUCAACAUCAUCACACACUUGAGAUUCAUUAAUCACAUCACACACAUCCUCAAGUGGUGGGCAAUUUUCACACAAAAGUUGAUCAACAUAAAUUUCACAAGACGAUGUACUUCCAUUCAACACAAUGAUUUCAAAACUAGGUGGACAUAAAUCGAUCUUAAAAGAAGAGUCGAUUCGGUUAUCAAUAGGAUCAACUAAUGUAUCCACACUCACAAUAGACUCACAUAUAGGAAAACUAUAACUCACACUCAAUGGGCUACUAGCCACACAAUUAUCAUUCACAUGCACAAAAGUGUAAGGGUUAGCUAUUUUACCUUGAAGUUCAUGGGUAUGUUUUUCUUUAAAUCGGUGAGAAAGUCCAUCACAAGAUUGGGCAACAACUUCCUUCAGAAAGCUCUUAUCACAAGUUGUUUGGACAAUUGGAUUUUGAGGGAAGAGUUUGGGUAAAAAUUGGCGUAUAAUUUCAAUGUGUUGUUGCAUAUCUUCAAGAUCGUCAUGGAUACGAUCACACGUGGCCUUGAAAUUAUGUGCAGCCAUGGUACCUAACAAAAAAAAAACAAAAAAAUCUCCUUACCAACACUCGAUACACUCACCUUUGUGAUUCUCACAAUUGGAGUGGCAAAUAUUGAAAGUUACUUAUACUCCGGUAGUCAAUAAGAUGUCAAUCCUACUUGGCGGCCAGAAUGGAUUCUUGUUUUGAUUGACUCAAGAAACAAAAUAAAAUUCACUUAUGAACUUGAAAUAAAGAAGUUACUAUGAGUUACAAACGAGAAAAGCAUACAAAUAACGAAGACAUGAAAGAAACGUAUUCAAUAACUAAUUUACAACUUAGUAGGUAUUUACUAGUUGCCAAUUAGUAUAAGAAUAAAAAAAAUAAACUAAGAAUAAACAAUAAGAAACUAAGAAUCCAAGAUUUUGAGCCCUAAGUUUCGGUAUUGUACAAAAAUUGGUGAUAUGGCAGUCUAGGAUUGGUUGCGGUUUUUGAAAGGUUCUUAUUUUUCCAACUUUGAAAUUUUGGUUCAAUUAUCAAUUCUUGAAGAAGUGUAUUUCAGCAUUGGGGAAUAAAAAUAUCAAUAUUGGAGCCAUUUUUCACAUUCAAAAAGGUUUGACUUAUCUUACACCUUUUGGGCAAGACACCUUUUUGAAGGGUUGGUGGCCCUUUCCUCUUUUGGACACCUAGAAAGGUAUUUUUUUUCCCUCUUUUAGUACCAAGUCUUUUGUAGAUCUUUUUGUCCCCCUUCCCUUUUAGUAGGUAUUUGGGAUUUGUUUUAAAGACUAGCAAAGGCCUCACUUCUUUCCACUUGGCUUUUGGAUCAAACAACACUAUUGAAGAGCUUUUUUGCAACUAAACAUGAAGAUAGUCUAGAACAACAAGAACUUUCAAUAGAAGUUUGAAAUCCUAGCCUCACAUUGAACCUCCAACAAUCAACAACACCUUUAUCAAGCUUAAAAAACAUAACAAAAUACCAAAAACACGAGUUCAAACCACCUUCAAGCUUUGGUCCACACAACAACACCAACAAUGUUAAAGUUCUUUAAACCGCAACAACAAUACCAACAACAAUGUUCAAGCUCAACUUGGAUCUAGACUCAAGGGUGUUAGUGAAGACAAAACUAACACUUAGAAACAACUAAGAUAAAAAAAACACACCUAAAUUUAGACACAAAUCUCGUCCAAAACAACAACAACACCAAGAACACAAUUUCGGCCAAGAACACAAAAAAAUGGACAGAUUUGCUCUUUUUGAUUUUUCGGUUUUCUAACACUUUUUUUUUAUUUUCAAGUUGACAAAACCAAGAUUGAUCUUGUGGGAACAAUAUCAAUCCAUGCUUUGAUACCAAAUGAUACAAAUCAGUCCACCAAGAUGCCAAAACAGUCCAUAAAACGUGAGAAGAACAAGCAACACAAAGGGAUACAAGAUGACAAACACAAAAACACACGGAUUUGCAAAANNNNNNNNNNNNNNNNNNNNNNNNNNNNNNNNNNNNNNNNNNNNNNNNNGUUUCCAAGCAAAGAACAAUAUUGGUUUUUCCAAGCCCUAUACUAAGGAUAACUUUUCCAAGUCCUAACUAAGACUAUACUAAGGUGGUCUACUCUCAAGAGAGAGGAUUUCAAGUGUUUCAAUUUUUCAUCUUUCAUAAACUAACUAGCAAAUGAACUAAUAGAACCUAUUUAUAGUCUAACUUAUUACAUAACAAAAUGACCACAAUACCCUUAGUGAAAAGGGGUGGUCAUGGAGUGUUACUUAGACAAGGCUAAGUAACCAAAAUGUCCUUAAUGAAGGCCAAAAACCGUGAGUCCUCAAUCUUCAACUCUCCAAACAAUCUUUCACACGUGGGAUUGCUCUUUGGUGUACUCAAAUCGGCCCCUCCAUGUAGGAUCCCAUUUCCUUAAUGUGACCAAAGAUUGAUGCCCCACGUACUGACUUUGAAUGAUGUCAUUGAAAGAUAAGGUGGCCAUUUGAAUCGUAUCAAUUUUAGAAAGUUGUUAUUUUCAGAUGUAGUAGAUAUUUCGCAGAUUGGUUCAAACAUUGUCUUGUUGUUGUUGGGCUUUACUUUCAUAUUAUAAAUUAAGUUCAGACUUAUGAACAUGAUUCCAUUUCAGUAUGUAUUUUCUGCACUUCCUAUUUGUAUAUGAAUGGUGUGUAUGAUUAUGAGUUAGAAGGUCUCUCGGGCCUUCAUGGUUCGGGAUGUCCGUCAUGGCCAAGGCCCUGGUUCAAUUUGUAACAAAAAUGGUAUUCAUAGAGAGCUCAUAGUACCAUAUACACCAGAGCAGAAUGGUGUAGCCGAAUGAUAGAACUAGACGAUUGUUGAAAUGGGCAAAAGCAUGAACCCAGAGGUGUACUAAAGUGUUUCUGGGGUGAAGUUGUUGCUACUACUGUCUACGUGCUCAACAUUUCACCCACCAAGUUUAUUCUUAAUCCAACACCAUAUGAAGCAUGGAGAGGUAACAAGCCCAAGGUACGCCUCUUACGUGUCUUUGGAUGUAUAGCUUAUACGUUGGUGAAAUCAUAGGCUAGGCAAAAGCUUGAUUAAAAAUAAAAAAAAAUAUAUAUUUGUUGGAUAUAGCACACAAUUCAAAGAUUAUAAGUACGAGUCAAUUUUGUUGUACCAUUCCCUCGAUGCUUUUUUAGCCCAUAAAGUGCCUUCUUGAGUUUGUAAACUUUGCUCUCAUUGCCACUAAUAACAAAACCCUCAGGUUGGGAAACAUAAAAUUCCUCUUCCAAAUCCCCAUUUAAGAAUGCAGAUUUAACAUCAAAUUGAUAAAUGAGCCAGCUCAAUUUAGCAGCCAAAGAUAAGAUUAUUCUAACCCUUUCAAAAUGAGCAACAGGUGAAAAUGUUUCAUCGUAAGCAAUACCUUGAUGUUUUGCAUAUCCCUUUUCUAUGAGCCCGGAUUGGUGUCUCUGUAUGAUCCUGUCAGUAUGACGCUUGACUUUGAACACCCAUUUGAGUCCAAUAGGUUCCUUUCCAUCCGAUAGAUUCACUAACUCCCAUGUCUGGUUCUUCUCAAUUGCUAGCAUCUCUUCUAUCAAUGCAUUUAUCCAUACUUAAAUCUCUGUAGCUUCUUUGAAAUAAGUGGGUACUGCACCAUACAAAGAAAAAGAACUAUUCUUAUAAAUCUCCCUCAACAAUUUGAAUUUCAUUGGUGGAGUCUCGCUGGAAGAGUCUGUUGAAGAGGAACUGCUGCCACUUCUUUUGGGGGUUAAGUCAUGAUCACUUACUGGAGAAGAGGUUCUUGAUAGAGGAGUAGAAAGGGUGGUACUUGCUGGAGAAGAACUGGAUGUGUUCUCUGGAACGAAAACUGCUGCAAGUUCUUUCUCAAAAAUUUCAUCAGUAGGCGACAAAUUAAUAUUUGAAUUAACAUUCCCAGAAUCAAAGUUCUAGCUAGCAUCAUCAUUAAACAUAACAUUUCUACUUAUCAUAAUUUUGCCACUCACAAUCAUAUAAGUAGAAAUUAAACAUAACAUUUCUACUUAUCAUAACAUUUCUACGUUGUAUGUAAAGAAACAAGGUAGGAGUGAUUUUUUGGUAGUUUGUCUCUAUGUGGAUGACAUGAUUUAUAUGGGAUCAUGUGAAACUUUAGUUGCUGAAUUUAAAUCUUGCAUGAUGGAGUUUGAAAUGUCAGGUUUAGGUAUUUUGCAAUACUUUCUUGGUCUUCAAGUGAAAUAGGUGGGGAUAACGGAUAACUUUGAUAUGGUACAGAGGUUGCCAACUUUUUGUUUGACUUCCUUCUUGCCCAUCAUAUCAGAGUUAGUGAUUGACACGACCCAAACUAGGGCCUGGCCAUGACGGAUAUCCCAAACCAUGAAGGCUCGGGCAUCCUACUCUAUCAGACAAUCAUGCACAACAUUCACAUAAUAAAUGAGAUGGGAAAUAUAAUCUGAUAUGGAAACAUGGUCAUACUCUGGAUUCAGUUAAACAAUAAGGAAUGAAAUCUGAACUCAACUAAACAACAUCUAGAAUAGUCUGUGAAAUCUCUACUACAUGCAAAUCCGACAACUAUCUAAAAGCUGGGACAAAGGCCCCAGUAGACCAAAAUUGUAACCACUAAUAAUUGUCUAAAAAUAAACAGGCCUUCCAGAAUAUAGAAGGCUCACCAACUAGACACUACAACUCUAUCUAAUGAAAUCUACUACUUAUCUAGACCCCUAAACUGAGCCUCAGAACCUGAGAGGUAGGGGGAGGAGGGUCAAUAAAAUGUACUGGUACGCAAAGUAAUCACAAAUAAAACUUCUAUAUAAGUAAAAUAGUGGAGAGAAAGUUGUUAAAACAUCAUGCAUAUAACAGUUCUCAAAAUACAUGGGCAUUUUUCUAAAAAUCAUAAAUCAUUCUUGUCAAUGCAAUAUCUGUUCUUUGUAUUUCUUCUGAGUAAGGUGGCACUCCCCUACAAUGCUGAUAUUCCACGGUUUAUAUGGAAUCCUCCAUUGACUCAAUGGAGAAGCCUCCAAUCCAAGUAUGCCGUAAGGGUUGGAGUCUCUAAUUCUGAUACGUCACACUGUUCUAGGCUAGCGUAGUAUAAUAUACCCGGAUUGGCAAAUCACGAUUUUGGGCAAUGAGUUAUCUGAACUCGUGCCCUCUUUAGGAAAUCACCCAACAUCUCUUUAUGCCCUAUUUAAGCCUUUUCUGAACAUGCUUCAUUCUAAAAUUCUAAAACAUAAAGGUCUGAUUUCUGUGUUAGUCUAUGUCUGUUAUGGCAUUGUCUGAGUUGGUAUCUUCGUACCAAGACUUACAAGUUGUGAUUCUAAGCCAUAUAUGAUAACUUCAUUCUAAAAAAAUGUUCAGGCCACUUGAUCAUGCAUAUAGUGUAAGAAGAGUCAUAUCUCAAAUCAUAAAUCAAAAUCAUGCAAAGGAUUUCCAUUUAUUCAACAAUUUCAAUAAGUAGUGGCCAACUUCUCAAAAACAUUCUUGAAGUUUCUUUGUUUAUCCAUCUCAACAUUUAAAAUCAUUAAAGCAUUCCUCUCUCCCAUUCGUAAUCAUCAUGAAUUUCACAUAAGACAAAUAGUAUCUUGAAUCAUUCUGCAAACCAUGAAAUGUAAGGAUUCAUAACUUGUAAAUCAAAUAAGAAAGUAAUGGGAGAGGGAGAUUUUAUAUUUCAUGAUCUCGAUUCAAAAUUCAUGGUUUUCAAUGCAUACGUACAUAUAUUCAAUUCAAAUCAAUUUGGGGGAAGGCCUAAAGACCAAAACAAUAUUAUCGAAGCUUCUAAAACAUGAAUGUAUUCAUAAAUUCAAAAAUCCUUUUUCUUAAAAAUCAUGAUUUCUAUGCCCAUGAGAUUUUAGGAAAAACCCCGCAUACCUCAAUUAUGAAGAAUAAUGGAUGAUCCUUGAAGCCUACGGUUUGGGGAUUCCAAAUCUCUGAUCAAUUUCAAAAACCCAUGGUUGAAUCUUGAGUUUCUUGGAGGAGAAGUAUAUGAACUAGGGUUUUUGUUUUGAGGGAAAUUUUGAGAAUGUCAUAUAUUAUGCUUGUAGAGGUCUUAAUCUCCUGUUUGGACAUUUUAAGAGACUGGGAAAAAGUCCAAACUACCCUUGUUAACUUCUGAACGAAACAGGAAAAAUUUAAACUGGGAACCCGAUCUUACGGGCCACCGCAAUGCGCCACUAUCGCGGUGGCUCAAUGUAAAUUGAUGAAGGGGAAUUUUACCCACUCCAUGAGGCACCACCAUCGUAGAGUCUUACUGAAAAUUGACCAUCAUUAUUUACACCCUCUCCGAGAUGCGCCAAGGACAGGAAUGACGCUGUUUUAUGACUAGGACUUAAAUUAACCAUAACUUCUUCACCGAUCGUCUGUUUUGGACGAAUCUUAUGUCGACGGAAAACUUAUUCGAUCAUCUAUGUAAUGAGAAGUUGAAAUAUAAGGAAUACUAUAGGGAAAUAAGUAUAAAUCAUUCUAUAAGCCAUUGUUUGAUACUUUAGGGACAAAAUUUAGCUAGGAAAAACUUUGGGCGUUUCAAUAUCCCUCCUUGGGAACAUUCAUCCUCGAAUGUUGACGCGGGACACAGAUAAACAUAAUUUCAAGCAUACUAAGGCAUAGAAAGAAUAAGGCGAGGAUUGUACCUUCCAUUUAUUCAUCCACUAGAUCAAAAAGGUUUGGGUAUCUAGCUCUCAUGUCAACUUCUGAUUCCCAAGUUGCUUCUUCAAUUUUUUGGUUUCUCCACAACACUUUAACUGAGGCUAUCCCUUUGCUUCUCAAUCUUCUAUCUUGGUGAUCCAAAAUUUCUACAGGUUUUUCUUCAUAUAAUAAAGAGUCUGUCAGUUUGAUUUCUUCGACAGGCAACACUAAAGAAUGGUCUCCAAUACACUUCUUCAACAUAGAUAUAUGAAAUACCGGAUGAACAGAACCUAAACUGGCAGGCAAUUCUAACUCAUAUGCAACUCCACCUAUCCUUCUCAUAAUUUGGUAUAGCCCUAUAUAGCGAGGACUCAGCUUACCUUUCUUCCUGAAUCGUAUGACUUCCUUCAUGGGAGAAACCUUGAGAAAUACCCAAUCUCCAACCUCAAACUUAAGAUCUCUUCUCCUAACAUCAGCGUAGGAUUUAUGAUGACUCUAAGCUAUCUUAAGUUGUUCUAUAGUGACUUUCACAUCCUCCAUUUCCUGAUGAAUAAGAUCAGGCCCAAACAUCUAUAUCUCACCUACUUUAUACCAUCCUAUCAAAGACCUACAUCUUCUCCCAUAUAAUGCCUCAAAUGGUGCCAUCUUAAUACUAGAAUAAAAAUUGUGAUUAUAUGUGAACUCUAUCAAUGCCAAGUGCUCUACCCAACUACCUUUAAAAUCAAUCACGCAGGCCCUCAACAUAUCCUCAAGGUUCUGGAUGGUGCGCUUAGCUUGCCCGUCUAUCUGAGGUUGGAAAGUCAUGCUCAAAUUUACUUGGAUACCUAAACCCUUUUGAAACGAUCUCCAAAAUUAUGAAGAAAACUGUGUACCUCGGUCAGAUAUGAUGGACACAGGUGCCCCAUGCAAACGAACUAUUUCUGCAAUGAACAGCUUGGGAUAGUCCUCUCCCGAAUAAUUAGUCCAGGUAGAAAGUGAGCUAAUGAAGUCCAUAUUAAUCAUCUCCCACUUCCACAAAGGCAAAGCUAUCUCUUGAGAAGAACCGCCUAGCCUCAUAUGUUCCACUUUAACUUAUUGACAAUUCAAACACUUGGCAACAUAGUUAGCCAUAUCACGCUUCAUAUAAUUCCACCAAUAAAUGGUUUUCAAAUCAUGAUACAUCUUAGUAGAGCCAGGAUGAACAAUAUACCUCAACGUGUGAGCUUCGUCAAGGAUUCUAUUCCUCAGACCAUCUACAUCUGGCACACACAACCUACCCUGGUAUCUCAAAAUACCAUCACCUCCAAUUUCAAAUGACAUUACCUUUUGUUGACCCACAUUUUUCUUGAUCUGCAUCAAGAUGGCAUCUUUAACCUGCUUCUCUUAACUUUUCACAAAGGGAAGAUUUAGCUAUCUCAUGAACAACCACUACUCCAUCCUCAGAAUCCAAAAGUCACACUCCUAGAUUUGCAAGUCGGUGAAUAUCCUUCAUCAUCUCCCUCUUUUCUUUCCCCAUAUAAGAAAGACUGCCCAUAGAUAACCUGCUAAGGGCGUCAGCUACCAUAUUUGCCUUGCCCUGAUGAUAGUGCAGGCUCAUGUCAUAGUCUUUUAAAAGUUUCAACCAUCGCCUCUACCUGAUAUUCAAUUCUUUCUAUGAGAAAACAUACUAUAAACUCUUGUGGUCAGUAAAUAUAUCAACAUGUAUCCCAUACAAAUAGUGCCGCCAGAUCUUAAGUGCAAAAACCACAACCGUUAACUCUAAGUCAUGAGUAGGGUAGUUCCUCUCAUGCACCUUCAACUGACUAGAUGCAUAAGCCACUACCUUAUCAUACUGCAUAAGAACAUACCUAAGUCCCACUUGGGAUGCAUCACAGUAUACAACAAAACCUUUUGUACCCUUCAGAAGAGUCAAAAUAGGAGCAGUAGUCAACUUGUCUUUCAACUUCUCAAAACUAUUCACACAAGAGUCAGACCACAAAAACUUUACCUUUUUCUGAGUCAACUUAGUAAGUGGUGUAGCUAUGGAAGAAAAACUCUCUACAAAACUUCUAUAAUAACCCGCCAAACCCAAGAAGCUCUGAAUAUCUAUUGGAGUCGUGGGUCUAGGCCAUUUCCUCACUGCCUCAAUCUUUUGGGGAUCAACCUUAAUCCCUUCACUAGACACAAUAUGCCCCAAGAAAGUAAUAGCAUUUAACCAGAAUUCACACUUGGAGAACUUUGCAUAUAACAUAUGAUCUUUGAGAGUCUGGAGGAUAAUUCAGAGGUGAUUGGCAUAAUCCUCCUCACUUUUGGAAUAAAUCAAGAUAUCAUCAAUGAAAACUAUGACAAACAAGUCUAUAAAUUAUCAAAAGACCCUAUUCAUUAGGUCAUGAAGGCUGCAGGGACCCAUCUUUCUUUCACACAAAAAGUAUAGGUGUACACCAGGGAGAAACACUAGAACGGAUGAAACCUUUAUCUAGGAAGUCUUUCAACUCUUUCAUCUCUACUAGAGCUAUUCUAUAUGGCAGAAUAGAGAUGGGACGAGUGUCUGGCAACACAUCCAUGCCAAAAUCUAUCUCCCUAUUAGGUGGUAUUCCUGGGAAAUCAUCUGGAAAGAUUUCUGAGAAUUCAUUUACCACAGGGACAGAUCGAAGAGGAAGAUUUUUGGUGUUAGAAUCUUUAACCCGAAUAAAAUGAUACAACCAACCUUUAGAAAUGAGUUUACGGGCCCUGAGAUAAGAUAUGAAGUGCCCUCUAGGUGCUAAAGAGUACCCUUCCUAUUUUAUUGCUGGCUCAUUUGGAAAAGAAAAAGUAACCUUUUAGGUUCUACAGUCUAGAGUGGCAUAACACGAAUAGAGCCAGUCCAUCCCUAGGAUAGUAUAAAAAUCAACCAUAUCAAGCUCUAUGAGAUCUGCCACAGUAUCCUGGCUAAGAAUAGACACAACAUAAUUUUUAUAUAUCCUCUUAGCCACAACAAAAUCACCCACCAGAGUGGAAACAGAGAAAGAGUCAGUAAUGACUUUGGACUCUAACCUAAAACCAACAACCACAUAUGGGGUCACAUAAUACAAGGUAGACCCGAGAUCAAGUAACACAUAAACAUUACAGGAAAAGAUUUGUAAUGUAUAGGUGAUAAUAUCUGGUGAGAACUAUGCCUCCUCGUGGUUAGUCAAAGCGUACAGUCGGUUGCGACAGCUUUCGGUAGCUGAAGUGGCGCCCUUUUAAGGCGGUGGUGGUGCGGAAGAAUUUGCCGGAGAUUUUGCACCACCAACAUUCCUUAUAGCAGAUGGACAAUCCCUCUGUAAGUGACGCAGAUGAACACAUGAAUAACAUACUAAUGCACCCCACUGACACCUUCCUAGAUGUUUCCUACCAUAAGUCUCACACCAUAGAAAAGUAUGAUAUUGCGGAGCCACACUACCCUAUGACUGAGUAUCCUGAGUUCUGGAUUCCUGAUUAUUUUGGAAACUCUAAGAUCUUCUGUCAACUGGGGGUCUGGGCACUGAGGCGUUGCCUGCGGACUGUGCAUUACCCAAAUUCUUCUUCUUCUGCCAUUAAUUACCCCACUUACCACUUUUUGGCUUACUGUGAUGCUAAUCUGUUGUUCUAGCUCUCUUUGUCUGCCUGUCCUUCUCUCUAGACUCAGUGAUUUUCUUUUUCUUUUCUUCUACCUAUUGUAUAUAGACUGACAGCCUAGCAAAGUUAAUAUCCCUAUUUAGCAUCGCCCCUUGACAUUCAAGCACUAGAUCAUCUGAAAGGCUGGAUGUAAACUUCCUCAUCCGGGCUCUAAUAUUGCUGGUCAUCUCUGGUGAAUAUCGGGAUAAUUGGUUAAAAUUCAAAGUGUACUCCUGGACACUCAUAUUUCAUAAACUCCUCAGUUUUGGCCUCCCUCAACUCUAGAGAAAAGAACCGAUCAAGGAAGGCUUCCACAAAUUUACCCCAAGCUGUGGGCUCAGCACUCUUUUUCGCAUCCCCAAACUGUGGGCUCAGUAACAUCCUUGAGUUGAUAAUUUUCCAACUCCACCCCUUCUAUAUCCUCCACAUGUAUCACCUUAAAUGUAAAACCCCGACGUCUUCUUAGCUAAAUUCCAUCCAUGAAAAGUCUAAGCAUUAGCUUUUAGAAUGAUCUAAAUUAAUUUUCAUGUCGAAUUUCCUAGAUUUCAACCUUUCAUUAUGUAGAUAACUAAAUUAUCUUUCCAACAACAUAAGAUUCAUCCAAAAUGGACCCUCGGUGAAGAAGUUAUGACUAAUAAAAGUUUCAGUCAUAAACAUCAUCAUUUUGGUGUCUAACGCAUCGCGGAGAGGGUCAAAAUAACAAUCGUCAAAUUCUAGUGGAGCUCCACGAUAGUGGCGCAUUGCAGAGGCACUCAAUUUCCCACUCAUCAAAUUCCAGUAGACCACCGCGAUUCUGGUGCAUCGCGGUGGCACCCAAAAUCAGGUUUUUAAGUUUAAAUUUCCUGUUCCGUUUAGGAGUCAUUAAGGGUAAUUUUGACUUUUUCCUAGCCUUUAAAGCCAUCCAAAUAAAGGAUUUAGGGUAUGUUUGAGCAACUUAACCGUACUUUCAUCAAAACCAUCAAGAAUCCUCUCUAGAGCUUCAAACAAGAACUUCAAGAAACUCAAGAUUCAACCAUGGGUUUUCAAAAUCGAUUGAAGAUUCGAAAUCCCCGGAUCAUAGGCUUCAAUAAACACCCAUUUUUUCCUAUUUUAAGGUAUGCGGGAUUUUUCUAAAAAUCUCAUGGGCAUAGAAAUCAUGAUUUUAAGAAAGGGGUUUUCAGAUUUAUGAAUACAUUCAUAUUUUAGAAAUCUUGACGGUAUUAUUUUGGUCUUUUAACCUUCCCCAAAUUGAUUUGAAAUUAUAUAUACGUAUGCAUAUGUUUUAUGAUUUAUGAAUGAAUUGAGAGCAUGGUGCACAUGAAUCCCUCUCUUGGUAUGAUUUUCCCAAUUUUCUUAUGAGAAGGAUUGUUUUGAAUGUAUCUUGAAAAGCAUGAUAUGAAAUAUCUUGAUUAAUGCUACAAAUUGAUUUAUGGUUUUUAAUUCGAAAGAGAGGGUUGUGCAUAUUGAUAAAUGUUAAAAAUAUUCAUAUAAUGAAAGAGUGCACGAUUUUGCCAAAAGCACAUGACCACCAUAUGUUUGAACAAUCUCAACAUAGUUUUGACUUGUGUUCUCGAAACAUGAAAUCUUUUAUAUUGUUUGCAUGUUUGGGUGGUCUGAACUGUAUUUUAAUGAAAGAAUUAUGCAUGAUGCAUUAUGACUCAGAAAUAGGACUUGCAAGUCUUGGUGUGAUGACACCAAUUUAGAUUAUGCCAUGAUAAUUCAGAAUAAAUUUAAUGCAUAUUUGAAAUCAGACAUUUCAGAUGAUGAAACUAGAAACAUGCAUGAUUUAGAACAGGAUAAAAUUGGGCAUAAAGAGAGUUUAGGUGGUUUCCCAAAGAAGGCAUGAGUAUUAAACAACUCAUCGCCUAAAACCAUGAUUUGCCAAUCCAGGUUUAUUUAUUACGCUGACCUAGAGCCCUGUGGCUUAUCAGAUUCAGGAACUCCUUGUGGCACACUUGGGUUGGGGGCUUCCCCACCGAGUAAAUGCCAGAUUCCAUACCGCUCGUGGAAUAUCAGAAUUGUAGGGGAGUGCCAUCUAACUUAGAAGUAAUAUACAUAUCAGAACUUGCAUUGACAGGCAGGUUACAUGUUUUUCAGAAAUGCGCCAAUGUGUUUCGAAAGCUACUUGAUGUAUAAUGUUUUGACAAAGUUAUUUCCCAAACUAUUUUAUUUAUAUAUAAGCUUUAUUUUGGAUUUAUUUGUGUACCAGUACAUCUGUAUUAACCCCCCCUCCUCUCUCCAAGUUUUGAGGCUCAGUCUAGGGGUCCAAAAAGGCAGUAGAUUCGUCAGACAGAGUUACAGUGAUUAGUAGAUGAGCCUUCACUAUUCCAGAAGGCCCGUCUUUCAGAUUAUGUCCCUUAUUAUCAUUUUGGUCUAUUGGGGGCCUUUUCCUAAUUUUCUGACAGUUGUUAGAUUUUCCUGUAGUAGAGAUUUUGCAGACUGAGUCAGAUAUUAUUAGAUGUAGUUGAUUUUCAAUUUUCAUACUUAUGCUGAAUUCAGAAUUGACUAUGUUUUCGUAGCAGAUUAUGUUUUCGCAUCUUUUUUAUUUAUAUGAAUAUGUGCAUGCUUACCAGACAGAAAGGGACAUUUGGGGGCCUCAGGGUUUGGGAUGUCCAUCAUGGCCAGGCCUUUAUUCGGGUCGUGAAACACUUGGUAUUAAAGCACGGUUCAUGGUCCCAGCGUAUCUAUGAAAUCACAUCGGGUAGAGUCUUGUUUAUGAGUGUGUAGCAUGCCAUACGUAUAAGCAAGAGGCUACUAGGUGUUUAGGAAUGUUUCUCUUCUUUGUCAUUUAGUUCGUGCUUCAGAUUCUAAUCUAUCCGCAAAUCAAUGAUAUCUUGAUUUUUAGAAAAACCAGUUAUGCCUCCCCGUUGCACCAACGUUAAUGCUUAAGAGGAUGAAGACUGUCCUACUCAUGGAAUGAGGAUACAUAAUAGAGCUCAUAAUCUAAAAACUGUCCCUACUCCGGGAGUCCCUCCAGUCCCAACCAGUCUACCUAGGGCUCCUUGGACUAAUGUUACCCAUCCCCCGACUACUAAGAGGGAUAUUUUGAAUGCAGAAUUUAGAAAAUCUAUUCAUAUACUGAUACAGUUGGUGGAUAAUCAGGCCCAACGAUCAGAAGAUGUUGGGUCUGCACCUGUUAUAUCUGAAGCUACUAGGGUGGGUCUGACCCACCUAAGUUUACUGGCACUAAGGUAGAAGAGGAUCCGCAAGAGUUCAUAGACAAAAUGGAGAAGAUUUCUAGAGUGAUGCAUGUGGAUCAGGUGAAAGGUGUUGAGCUAGCGGUAUACCAGCUAAAUUAUGUAGCGAAUCAAUGGUAUAAUGAGUUGGAAAAGGUGAAGGGUGAUAGUGCUGAGCCCACAGUGUGGGACGAGUUUAUGGAAUCUUUUCUUGACUGGUUCUUUUCUCUAGAAUUGAGGGAAGCCAAAGUGGAGGAGUUUAUAAACCUUAAGCAGGGUAAUAUGAGUGUUCAGGAGUAUACUUUAAAGUUUAAUCAGUUAGCCCGUUAUGCUCCUGAGAUGAUGAGCAGUAUGAGGGCCCAAAUGAGGAAGUUUGCUUUUAGCCUUUCAGAUGAUCUGGUGCUUGAAUGUCAAGGGGCGAUGCUAAAUAGGGAAUUAGAAUUUACUAGGCUGACAGUCCAUAUGCAGCAGGUUGAGAAGAAGAAGAAGAACAUAGCUGAGUCCAGAGAAAAGGACACGCAGGCGAAGAGAGCCAAAUAAGUAGAUCAGAACCCCAGUCAGCAGCACGGUGGUAAUUGGGGUAACAAAUGGCAAAAGAAGAAGUUUUGGAGCAAGGCAUAGUCUACAGCUAGUGCCCCAGCGUCCAGACCUCCAGUUGAUAGACGGUCUCAAAGUUUUUAGGCCAGCCAGGGACCCAGAGCUCAGGAUACUCAGUCGUAAGAUAAUGUGGCUUAGCAAUACCAUUCUUAUCUAUGAUGUGAGACUUGUGGUAGGCAUCAUCCGGGAAAGUGUCAGUUGGGCUCGUCAGUGUGUUAUUCAUACGGUCAAACGGGCCACUUCCAGAGAGAAUGUCCCUCUGAUAGAAGAAAUGUUGGUGGAGCUAAGUCUCAGGAAAACUCUUCUACACCACCACUACCUUAAAAGGGCACCAAUUCAGCUGUCGGGAGCGGUUGCAACCGGCUGUAUGCUCUGACUAAUCUCCAAGAGGCGGAAGCCUCACCAGACGUAGUCACUGGUAGGUUAUAAAUCUUUUCUCGUAAGGUAUAUGUAUUGCUUGAUCUCGGGUCUACCUUAUCUUAUGUGACCCCGUAUGUGGCUGUUGGUUUUGGGUUUGAACCCGAUAUGAUUGCUGAACCUUUCUCUAUUUCCACUUCGGUGGAAGAUUUGAUUGUGGCUAGAAGGGUGUACAAAAAUUGUGUUGUGUCUAUUCUUAGUAGGGAUACUAUAGAAGACCUCAUAGAACUUGAUAUGGUUGCCUUUGAUGCUAUCCUAGGGAUGGACUAGCUCCAUCGGUGUUAUGCCACACUAGAAUGUAGGACUCAAAAGGUUACCUUUUUUUUUUCGAAUGUGCCAGCAAUAAAGUGGGAGGGGCUUUCCUUAGCACCUAGAGGGCACUUCAUAUCUUAUCUCAGAGCCCGUAAACUUAUUUCCAAGGGUUUCUUCUACCAUCUUAUUCGGGUUAAAGAUUCUAACGUCGAAAGUCUCCCCCUUCAGUCUGUCCCAGUAGUAAAUGAAUUCCCAAAAGUUUUCUAGAUGAUCUCCCAGGAAUUCCACCUGAUAGGGAGAUAUAUUUUGGCAUUGAUGUGUUGUCAAAUACCUGUCCUAUUUCUAUUCUGCCAUAAAGAAUGGCUCUUAUAGAGUUAAAAGAGUUGAAAGAAUAGCUAGCAUUUUAUCAGACCUAUUAUUUCUCCUUGGGGUGCACCUGUACUCUUCGUGAGAAAGAAAAAUGGUUCCCUGCGUAUGUGCAUAGACUACCGCCAGUUGAAUAAGGUCACAGUAAAAAAUAAAUAUCCUCUUCCUAGAAUAGAUGACCUUUUAAAAUAGCUUCAGGGUGCUAAGUGUUUUUCAAAAAUAGAUCUUCAUUCGGGAUAGCAUCAGUUGAAAGUUAGGGAGUCAGACAUUCCUAAAAUAGACUUUCAAACCAGAUAUGGUCAUUAUGAAUUCUUAGUCAUGUUCUUAGAGUUCACCAAUGCCCCUUCAACUUUCAUGGACCUAAUGAAUAGGGUCUUCCGUCAGUUCCUAGACCUGUUUGUCAUAGUUUUUAUUGAUGACAUCUUGGUUUACUCUAAAAGUGAGGAGGACCAUGCCAAUCACCUCCGCACUGUUGUUCAGACCCUCAAAGAUCAUAAGUUGUAUGGAAAAUUCUCCAAAUGUGAAUUCUGGCUGAAUUUUAUUUCUUUCUUGGGGAACAUUGUGUCUAGUGAAGGGAUUAAGUUGAUCCCUAAAAGAUUGAGGCAAUAAAGAAAUAUCCCAGACCCACGAAUCCAACCGACAUUCAAAGUUUCUUGGGUUUGGCAGGGUAUUACUGGAGGUUUGCAGAGAGUUUCUCUUCUAUAGCUGCUCCACUUAGUAAGUUGACUCAGAAAAAGGUGAAGUUUUUAUGGUCCGACUCUUGUGAGAAUAGUUUUGAGAAGUUGAAAGACAAGUUGACUACCACUCCUGUUUUGACUCUUCCAAAAGGUAUAGAGGGUUUUUUUGUGUAUUGUGAUGUGUCCCGUAUGGGACUUGGUUUGUACUUAUGCAGUAUGGAAAGGUGGUGGCUUAUGCAUCUAGGCAGUUAAGCAUGAGCGGAACUACCCCAUUCAUGAUUUGGAAUUAGCAGUUGUGGUGUUUGUGCUUAGAAUUUGGAGGCAUUAUCUUUAUAGGGUGCAUGCUGAUAUUUUCACUAACCAUAAGAGUUUGCAUUAUGUUUUCUCGCAGAAAGAACUAAAUCUCAGGCAAAGGCAUUGGAUGGAGCUUUUGAGAAACUAUUACAUGAGCCUUCACUAUCAUCUGGUAAGGCAAAUAUGGUAGCUGAUGCCCUAAGCUGAUUGUUAAUAGGUAGUCUUUCUUAUGUUGGGUAAGGGAAGAGAGAGAUGGUGAAAGAUAUUCACUGAAUUAUAAAUCUAGGAGUGCGACUCUUGGAUUCCGAAGAUGGGGGAAUAGAUGUUCAUGCGAUAACUACAUUUUCCCUUUGUACGAAAGUUAAAAAGAAGAAGGUUGAAGAUCCCAUCUUGAUGCAAAUUAAGAAUGAUGUGGGUCAGCAGAAGGUGAUGUUAUUUGAGAUCAGUGGUGAUGGUAUUUUGAGAUACCAGGGUAGAUUAUGUGUACCAGAUGUGGAUGAUUUGCAGAAUAGAAUCCUUGACGGAGCUCACACUUUAAGGUAUAUUGUUCACCAAGUCUCUACUAAGAUGUACCAGGAUCUGAAAUCUUUGUAUUGGUGGAAUAAUAUGAAGCGUGAUGUGUCUAACUUUGUUUCCAAGUGUUUGAAUUGUCAACAAGUUAAAGUAGAACACAUGAGGCCAGGUGGUUCUUCCCAAGAGAUAGCUUUGCCCUUGUGGAAGUGGGAGAUAAUUAAUAUGGACUUCAUUACAGGGCUCCCAAAGUCCUGAAACCAGUAUGAUUCUAUUUGGGUGAUUGUAGAUAGACUGACCAAGUCAGCCCAUUUUUUGCCUGUCAUGACUAACUAUUCAGGAGAGUAUUAUGCCAAGCUGUUCAUUUCAGAAAUAGUUCAUUUGCACGGUGCGCCUGUGUCCAUCAUAUCCAAUCGAGGUACAUAGUUAUCUUCUAAGUUUUGGAGAUCUUUCCAGAAAGGACUAGGUACCCAAGUGAACCUAAGCACUGCUUUUUACCCUCAGACCAAUGGGCAGGCCGAAUGCACCAUUCAGACCCUUGAGGACAUGUUUAGGGCCUGUGUGAUUGAUUUUAAAAAUAGUUGGGUAGAGCACUUGCCAUUGAUAGAGUUUGCGUAUAAUAACAGUUUCCAUUCUAGUAUUAAGAUGGCACCAUUUGAGGCACUGUAUGGGAGAAGAUGUAGGUCUCCUAUAGGAUGGUAUGAAGUAGGUGAGAUGCAAAUGUUUGGGCCCUAUCUUGUUCAUCAGGCAAUGCAGGAUAUGAAAGUCAUCAGAGAACGACUUAAGAUGGCUCAGAGUCAUCAAAAAUCUUAUGCCGAUGUUAGGAGAAGAGAUUUAAAGUUUGAGGUCGGUGAUUGGGUAUUUCUAAAACCUUCUCCUAUGAAGGGAGUCAUGCGAUUCAGGAAGAAAGGUAAAUUAAGUCCUCGCUAUAUAGGACCAUAUCAGAUUUUAAGGAGAAUAGGUGGUGUUGUGUAUGAGUUAGAAUUGCCUUCCAGUUUGGGUUCUGCCCAUCUGGUAUUUCACAUAUCCACGUUGAAGAAAUGCAUUGGAGACCAUUCUUUGGUGUUUCCUGUCGAAGAGAUCAAGGUGAAAGCCUCCUUAUCAUAUGAAGAGGAAACCAUUGCAAUCCUAGAUCGUCAGGUCCAGAAGUUGAGAAGUAAAGAAAUAGUUUCAAUUAAGGUGUUGUGGAGAAAUCAGAAAGUUGAAGAAGCCACUUGGGAAUUAGAGGAUGACAUGAGAGCAAGAUACCCAAGCCUUUUUGACCCAGUAGAUGACGGAGUUAAAGGUACAACCCUUACCUUAAUCUUUCUAUGCUUUAGUAUGCUUGGAAUCGUGCUUGUCUAUUUUCCGCAUGAUCAUUCGAGGACGAAUAAUUCCAAUAGGGGGAUAUUGUAGCACCCCGACGUCUUCUUCGCUAAAUUCCGUCCAUGAAAAGUCAAAGCAUUAGCUUUUAGAAUGAUCUAAAUUAAUUUUCAUGUGGAAUUUCCUAAAUUUCAACCUUUCAUUAUGUAGAUGACUAAAUUAGCUUUCCAACGAUAUAAGAUAAAUCCAAAACGGACCCUCGGUGAAAAAGUUAUGAAUAAUUUAAAGUUCCAGUCAUAAACAUCGUCAUUUUGGUGUCUAGCGCAUCGCGGAGAGGGUCAAAUUGACAAUCAUCAAAUUCCAGUGGGGCUCCUCGAUGGUGGAGCAUCGCGGAGGCACUCAAUUUCCCACUCGUCUAAUUCCAAUGGAUCACCGCGAUUGUGGCGCAUCGUGGUGGCACCCGAAAUCAGGUUUUUAAGUUCAAAUUUCCAGUUCCGUUUAGGAGUCAUUAAGGAUAAUUUUGAAUUUUCCCUAACCUUUAAAACCAUCCAAACAAAGGAUUUAGGGUAUGUUUGAGCAACUUAACCCUACUUUCAUCAAAAUCAUCAAGAAUUCUCUCUAGAGCUUCAAACAAGAACUUUAAGAAACUUAAGAUUCAACCGUGGGUUUUCAAAAUAGAUUGAAGAUUCGAAAUCCUCGGAUCAUAGGAUUCAAGAGACAACCAUUGUUUUCCUAUUUUGAGGUAUGCGGGGUUUUUCUAAAAAUCUCAUGGGCAUAGAAAUCAUGAUUUUAAGAAAGUUUUCAGAUUUAUGAAUACAUUCAUAUUUUAGAAAUCUUGAAGGUAUUGUUUUGGUCUUUUGACCUUCCCCAAAUUGAUUUGAAAUUAUAUAUACGUAUACAUAUGUUUUAUGAUUUAUGAAUGAAUUGAGAGCAUGACGCACCUUAAACCCUCUCUUGGUAUGAUUUUUUUAAUUUUCUUACGAUAUGGAUUAUUUUGAAUGUAUCUUGAAAAUCAUGAUAUGAAAUAUCUUGAUUAAUGCUGCAAAUUGAUUUAUGAUUUUGAAUUUGAAAGAAAGAGUUGUGUAUAUUGAUAAAUGUUGAAAAUAUUCAUAUAAUGAAAGAGUGCAUGAUUUUGCCAAAAGCACAUGACCACCAUAUGUUUGAACAAUCUCAGCAUAGUUUUGACUUGUGUUCUCGGAACAUGAAAUCUUUUAUAUUGUUUGCAUGUUUGGGUGGUCUGAACUGUAUUUUAAUGAAAGAAUUAUGCAUGAUUCAUUAUGGCUUAGAAAUAGGACUUGCAAGUCUUGGUGUGAUGACACCAAUUCAGAUUUUGCCAUGAUAAUUCAAAACAGAUUUAAUAUAUGUUUGAAAUUAGACUUUUUAGAUGUUGAAACUAGAAACAUGCAUGAUUUAGAACAGGAUAAAAUUGGGCAUAAAGAGAGUUUAGGUGGUUCCCCAAAGAAGGCGUGAGUAUUAAACAACUCAUCGCCCAAAACUGUGAUUUUCCAAUCUGGGUUUAUUUAUUACACUGGCCUAGAGCCCUGUGGCGUAUCAGAUUCAGGAACUCCAACCCUUGCAGCACACAUGGGUUGGGGGAUUCCCCGCUGAGUCAAUGACGGAUUCCAUACCACCCGUGGAAUAUCAGAUUGUAAAGGAGUGCCACCUAACUCAGAAGUAAUAUACAGAUCAGAACUUGCAUUGACAGGCAGGUUACAUGUUUUUCAGAAAUGCGCCAAUGUGUUUCAAAAGCCACUUAAUGUAUAAUGUUUUGACAAAGUUGUUUCCCAAACUAUUUUAUUUACAUAUAAGCUUUAUGUUGGAUUUCUUUGCGUACCAGUACAUCUGUAUUGACCCCCCCUCCCUCCCUCCAGGUUUUGAGGCUCAGUCUAGGGAUCCAGAAAGUUAGUAGAUUCGUCAGACAGAGUUGCAGUGAUUAGUUGGUGAGCCUUCUCUAUUCCAGAAGGCCCGUAUUUCAGAUUAUGUCCCUUAUUAUUGUUUUGGUCUAUUGGGGGCCUUGUCCCAGUUUUCAAAUAGUUGUCAGAUUUUCCUGUAGUAGAGAUUUCGCAGACUGAGUCAGAUGUUAUUAAAUGUAGUUGAUUUUCAAUUUUCACACUUAUGCUGAAUUCAGAAUUGACCAUGUUUCAGUAGCAGAUUAUGUUUCCGCAUCUUCUUUAUUUAUAUAAAUGUGUGCAUGCUAAACAGAUAGAGAGGGACGUUCUGGGCCCUCAGGGUUCGGGAUGUCCAUCACGGCCAAGCCCUAGUUCGAGUCAUGACAUUAAAGAUCUUCUCUAUCUCAUCCACAAACUCCUGUUGAUCUUCUUCUACCUUAGUGCCAGUAAACUUGGGCGGGUUCAUUCUCAUGAACUGACCCACCCUAGUAGCCUCAGAUAUAACAAAUGCAGACCCAACAUCUUUCGAUUGUUGAGCCUGAUUGACCACCAACUGUGUCAAUAUAUGAAUUGAGUGUCUCAAUUCUGCAUUAGAAAUAUCUCUCUGAGAAGUCGGGGGACUGUUAACAUUGGUCCGUAGAGAUCGAGAUGGACUGGUCGGGACUGGAGAUACUCCCGGAGUAGGAAUAGGUUCUGGGGCGAGAGCUCUAUUACGGGUCUACAGCCUGUGAGUGGGACGGACCUCAUCUAUCUGUGCAUUCUGAUAGAUAGUGCGACGAAGAGGUAUGAUCGAUUUUUCUGAAAAGCAAGAGAGCAUUGAUUAGAGGCAGAUUAGACUCCAAAGCAUGAACUAGAUCACAAAGAGGGGAAAUAUUCCUAAACGUAUAGUAGCCCCUUUCUUAUAAGUAUGGCUCGCUACACACCCAUAAACAAAACUCUAACCGACGCGAUUUCGCAGACACCUUGGGACCAUGAACCAUGCUAGGAUACCAAGUUUGUCACGACCCGAACUAGGGCCUGGCCGUGAUGGACAUCCCGAACCAUGAAGGCCCGGGCGUCCCACUCUAUCUGGUAAUCAUGCUCAACAUUCACAUAAUAAAAGGAGAUUCAAAAAUAUAAUCUGAUACGGAAACAUGGUCAUACUCUAGAUUCAGUUAAACAAUAAGGAAUGAAAUCCGAACCCAACUAAACAACAUCUGGAACAAUGUACGAAAUCUAUACUACAUUAAUAUCUGAAACCUAUCAGAAAGCUGGGACAAGGCCCCCAGUAGACCAAAAUCGUAACCACUAAUAAUUGUCUGAAAAUAAACAGGCCUUCCAGAAUAUAGAAGGCUCAUCAACUAGACACUGCAACUCUGUCUAAUGAAACCUACUACUUAUCUGGACCCCUAGACUGAGCCUCAGAACCUAAGAGGUAGGGGGAGGGGGGUCAACGCAAUGUACUGGUAUGAAAAUUAAUCCAAAAUAAAACUUCUAUAUAAGUAAAAUAGUAGAGAGAAAGUUACUAAAACAUCGCGCAUAAACAGUUCUGAAAACACAUGGGCAUUUUUAUAAAAAUCAUAAAUCAUUCUUGUCAAUGCAAUGUCUAUUCUUUGUAUUACUUCUAAGUUAGGUGGCACUCCCCUACAACUCUGAUAUUCCAUGGGCUAUAUGGAAUUCACCAUUGACUCGGCGGGGAAUCCCCCAACCCAAGUAUGCCGCAAGGGUUGGAGUCUCUGGUUCUAAUACACCACAAGACCCUAGGCCAGCGUAAUAUAAUAUACCCGGAUCGGCAAAUCACGGUUUUGGGCAAUGAGUUAUCUAAACUACUUUCCUCUUCAGGAAACCACCCAACAUCUCUUUAUGCCCUAUUUUAGCCGUUUCUGAACAUACAUCAUUCUAAAAUUCUAAAACAUAAAAGCCUGAUUUCUGUAUUAGUCUGUGUCUGUUAUGGCAUUUUCUGAGUUGGUAUCAUCAUACCAAAACUUGUAAGUCGUUAUUCUAAGUCAUAUAUGAUUAUUUUAUUCUAAAACAAUGUUCAGGCCACUUGAUCGUGCAUAUAGUGUAAGAAGGGUCAUAUCUCAAAUCAUAAGUCAAAAUCAUGCAAAGGAUUUCCAUUCAUUCAACAAUUUCAAUAAGUAGUGGCCAACUUCUCAAAAACAUUCUUGAAGUUUCUUUGUUUAUCCAUCUCAACAUUUAAAAUCAUUAAAGCAUUCCUCUCUCCCAUUCUUAAUCAUCAUGAAUUUCACAUAAGACAAAUAGUAUCUUGAAUCAUUCUGCAAACCAUGAAAUGUAAGGAUUCAUAACUUGUAAAUCAAAUAAUAAAGUAAUGGGAGAGGGAGAUUUUAUAUUUCAUGCUCUCGAUUCACAAUUCACGAUUUUCAAUGUAUACGUACAUAUAUUCAAUUCAAAUCAAUUUGGGGAAAGGCCUAAAGACCAAAACAAUAUUAUCGAAGCUUCUAAAACAUGAAUGUAUUCAUAAAUUCAAAAACCCCUUUUCUUAAAAAUCAUGAUUUCUAUACCCAUGAGAUUUUAGAAAAAAUCCCGCGUACCUCUAUUAUGAAGAAUAAUGGUUGAUCCUUGAAGCCUACGGUUUGGGGAUUCCAAAUCUCCGAUCAAUUUCGAAAACCCACGAUUGAAUCUUGAGUUUCUUGGAGGAGAAGUAUAUGAACUAGGGUUUUUGUUUUGAGUGAAAUCUUGAGAAUGUUGUAUAUUAUGCUUAUAGAGGUCUUAAUCUUCUGUUUGGACAUUUUAAGAGACUGGGAAAAAGUUCAAACUACCCUUGUUAACUUCUGAACGAAAUAGGAAAAAUUUAAACUGGGAACCCAAUCUUAUGGGCCACCACGACGUGCCACUAUAGCGGUGGCUCACUAUAAAUUGACGAAUGGGAAUUUGGUCCACUCCAUGAUGCACCACCAUCACGGAGUCUCACUAGAAAUUGACCAUCGUCAUUUACACCCUCUCCACGAUGCACCAAGGACAGGAAUGAUGGUGUUUUACGACUAGGACUUAAAUUAACCAUAACUCCUUCGUCGAGUGUCCGUUUUGGACGAAUCUUAUGUCGACGGAAAACUUAUUCGAUCAUCCACGUAAUGAAAAGUUGAAAUCUAAAGAAUACCAUAGGGAAAUAAGUAUAAAUAAUUCUAGAAGUCAAUGCUUGAUACUUUAAGGACAAAAAUUUAGCUUAGGAAAAACUACGGGGCGUUACAGCGAUCCCAUGUAUGUUUCAAAUAGAGAUGUACCGAUGAGUUAUUUGUUUUCUCCUUCUCUUAGACUUCUUCAUUUUAUUUUCCUCAUUCCAUGAUUGUUCCAAAGUAACUUAUCCUUCCCUUGCUUUCAAUGUUCUCUUGAUCUGAUGUAUAAAAUGUGCAUAAAACUUUAUCAGAUGGAACAAGAAAGAAUACAAGAAACUGAAGAAAGAAACAUAUAUUGUCAUACAAAUAUUGAUCAAUGUCAUCCCACAUUGUUUUCACAAAACAUUAUCCGACUACACUAAUUUACACACACACAGGCCCUGUUGAUUUUCCUAAUUACCUUAAGCUUAGUGAGAUGAAAGUUCACAAACAGUUCAUACUAACAAUAAGAGUAGAAACAAAAGAAUAGAGAAGAACAUGCGGGAUAUUAUUCGGUCCCAAGGCCUGAAGCUCUUCCCCUCCCAAAUCUUCAAUGUAUUGUUUAAUCUUCUUAGCAGAAACUUCAAGUUGAGGGCUCUCUUCAAGUUUGAUGAUUUUCAACGAAAAAAUAUCGCUGAAACUAGGCGGAAUCUCCUCAAGCAUAUGACAUCCCCUCAGUCCUAAUUUCUCAAGUAUGGGAAAGGUAUUCUCUUCUACUUUCCAUGUAGCAAGAAAAUUUGAGAUUCUCAAAGGUGUCUUCCUCCCCCAUGUUCCAUUCAUCCCCCUGCAUGAUUGUUCUCAUAAGGAACAACACUUCAAGGUUGGGCAGUCUCACUAUUGUUGAUAGUGAAUUGGACGUCAGAGGAAAGUUAUACAACCACAAUUUUUUCAAAUUCAAAGGCAAGUUAAAAUCGCACGACCAAUUUUUCACUACAGAGGGCCCACUGUCAUUUGUGUUUGAACUUUCAAAAUCUUCUCUGAGGAAAUCUAGUUUAGUUAGGAAAUCCAAUUUUGGGAACCAAUAUUGCUUUGUUGAAUAAUCCCAUGAUUCCUUGAGAAUAAAUACAAGCUCUUGAAGAUUGGGGAAUCUUAUGAAAAUAUCCUCUAAAUCUUUGGAAUAGGAAAGCACGAGGUUCUCUAAUACUCUCAAGUUCUCAAACUUUGAGUCCUUUGUUCUCAGUAUCGGUACAUUUGUAUCCAAAUCAAAUAAAGAACAAGCAAUCAUGGAUAGCAGUCGCAACUUUACAAGAUCCCAAAUACUCGGUAAUAGGACUAAGGUUGAUCCUUUGUUUUCAACCAUCAAGGUUUCUAGAUUCCAGAGAUUUGAGAACGAUGAAGGCAGAGAUCUAACUUCUGUCCCAAUGCUUAAGCACCUUAAAUAAUUCAACAUGCCCAUUUCAUUCAGCAAAGAAUCUUUCACCAUCAUAAAAGAGCUUCCCAGGAUCAACACGCUAAGAAGCCUCAAGUCUCUUAGGUGACAUGCAUCAGAAAGACGAUCUUCCAUAUUGUCUCCAGUUAUCUCCAAAGAAUAGAGGUGUUUACCAAAAUGCCCUUUCAUUUUUGAACUAAACAGGAUGAAAUUGUUAUCCUCAAAGUGCUCCUUAUCAUAAAAAAUGUCCACAAUACGUGGCAUCAAAUCUGAAGAAGAAGAUGGAUCACUUGAACUUAUCUGACCAAACAACUUUUCCUCUCUUGCUUUUAUCAAACAAAAGUCAAGCACAAGAUCAUGUAGUUGGAAAGUAGGGUAACCACCUAUCUCAUUGAAAGCAAUUACCAAACUACAGGAAAUUAAAUUAUCCAAAUAAAUUUCCAUCACUUCUUUCACACUCUUCAUCCCUAUCUGUUCAACAAGCCCUUCAGCACGCCAAUACAUUUUCAACAUAUCUCUAUCCAUUGCACUGUCCUUCAGAUAACUUGCAAGGUAGAGAAAGCAUGUCUUUAAGUGAUGAGGCAAAUGGUCAUAACUUAAUUCUAUAACCUUCAUCACAUCCACUUCACUGCUGAAAAUGAAGGAAUUCAAAUUAUUUUGAACUUCAAGCCACACAACCCUUUUAUUUUCCAAACCUACAAUGACACCAGCAAUCAGAUCAACAACCAAAGGAAGCCCUUUACAAUUUUGGGCUAUUUCUUUACCAACAUCCAAUAGUUCAUCGGGGAAACUCUCUUUUCCAAAUUCCCUUUUCUCUAAUAACUCCUAACUUGCUUCUGGUCUUAGCAUUCGAAGGUUAAGAGGAUCUGUGUUGCACUUUCCAUGAAAAGCCACUUCUUUUUGCCGAGUCAUCAUAAUAAUUCUACUUCCUUUCUCAACUUAAGGGAAAGGUCUUGUUAAAUCAUCCCAUGUAGUAGUAUCCCACACGUCAUCCAGCACAAUUAGGUACUUUUUUCCAUACAAUUGUUUCCGCAGCUUAUCAGCAACAUUAAUUUCCUUGCUGAACUUCAAAUCUGAGC